AUGUAUAUGUUGAGGCUGUGGUAGUUCCUUUACUUAAGUAGGGUGUGGUAGUUACUGUAGUUGUAGAGAGGAUGGUAGUGUAGAUGCAGGUUUUGAGGUUGUGGUAGUAGAUAUAGGUGUUGAUGAUGUGGUAGGGGGUGUCGGUGUUGAUGACGGCUUAGAUGAUAUAGGUGUUGAAGUUUUGGUUAUUGAUGUAAGUAUUAAGGAUUGUAUUGUUCCAGUUACUAAAGUUUUAGAUGUAUUUUCUAAGGGCGAAGUGGAAGUUGUAAGUGAUGUCGAGUAAGUGGUAGUCAUUGUUUAUGUUAAUGAUAUAGGUUUAGGGCUUUUGAUGGUAGAUGUUAUAGGUGCUUUGGAUGUGGUUGUUGGUAUUGGGAAGUCGAUUUCUUCAUCUUGUAAUUGUCUGUUUACAGAUUUUGCAGCUGAUAUCCUGUUGUGUUUCAUAACCUGUGGUGCAAUGAAUUUAGUUGGCUUCACACCGGAUGCUCCUUUUGCUUUCGAGUUCAACAUCUUUCUUGCUUAAAAAUUAACAAAAAACUGUAGUCAACGUAGAAGUGGCUUAUGGUGUCCAUGGAUGACAUAUGGGCCAUUGGUCAACCGGUAAACAUGGAAGUGGCUUAUGGUGUCCAUGGAUGACAUAUGGGUCAUUGGUCAACAUGGUAGUGUCUUAUGGUGUCUAUGGCUGACAUAUGGGUCAUUGGUCAACAUGGUAGUGGCUUAUGGUGUAUAUGGAUGACAUAUGGGACAUUAGUCAACAUGGUAGAGGCUUAUCGUGUAUAUGGAUGACAUAUGGGCCAUUGGUCAACAUGGUAGUGGCUUUAUGGUGUCCAUGGAUGACAUAUGGGAUAUUGGUCAACAUGGUAGUGGCUUAUGGUGUAUAUGGAUGACAUAUGGGUCAUUGGUCAACAUGGUAGUGGCUUAUGGUGUAUAUGGAUGACAUAUUGGUCAUUGGUCAUUGGUCAUCAUAGUAGUAGCUUAUGGUGUAUAUGGAUGACAUAUGGGCCAUUGGUCAACAUGGUAGUGGCUUAUGGUGUCCAUGGAUGACAUAUGGAUGACAUAUGAGCCAUUGGUCAACAUGGUAGUGCCUUAUGGUGUAUAUGAAUGACAUAUAGAUCAUUGGUCAACAUAGUAGUGGCUUGUGGUGUAUAUGGAUGAUAUAUGGGUCAUUGGUCAACAUGGUAGUGGCUUAUGGUGUCCAUGGAUGAUAGAUGGGCCAUUGGUGAACAUGGUAGUGUCUUAUGGUGUUCAUGGAUGACACUUGGGUCAUUGGUCAACAUAGUAGUGGCUUAUGGUGUAUAUGGAUGACAUAUGGGUCAUUGGUCACCGUGGUAGUGGCUUAUGGUGUAUAUGUAUGACAUAUGGGCCAUUGGUCAACAUGGUAGUGGCUUAUGGUGUCCAUCGAUGACAUAUGGGCCAUUGGUCAACAUUGUAGUGGCUAAUGGUGUAUAUGGAUGACAUAUGGGUCAUUGGUCAACAUGGUAGUGGCUUAUGGUGUAUAUGGAUGACAUAUGGGUCAUUGGUGAACAUGGUAUUGGCUUAUGAUAUAUAUGGAUGACAUAUGGGCCAUUAGUCAACAUGGCAGUGGCUUAUGGUGUCCAUGGAUGACAUUUAGGUUAUUGGUCAACAUGUUAGUGUCUUAUGGUGUAUAUGGAUGACAUAUGGGCCAUUGGUCAACAUGGUAGUGGCUUAUGGUGUCCAUGGAUGACAUUUGGGUCAUUGGUCAACAUGGUAGUGGCUUAUGGUGUAUAUGGAUGACAUAUCGGUCAUUGGUCAACAUGGUAGCGGCUUAUGGUGUAUAUGGAUGACAUAUGGUCCAUUGAUCAACAUGGCAGUGGCUUAUGGUGUCCAUGGAUGACAUAUGGAUGACAUUUGGGACAUUGGUCAACAUGGUAGUGGCUUAUGGUGUAUAUGGAUGACAUAUGGGUCAUUAGUCACCAUGGUAGUAGCUUAUGGUGUAUAUGGAUGACAGAUGGGCCAUUGGUCAACAUGGUAGUGGCGUAUGGUGUCCAUGUAUGACAUAUGGGCCAUUGGUCAACAUGGUAGUGGCUUAUGGUGUCCAUGGAUGACAUAUGGGUCAUUGGUCAACAUAGUAGUGGCUUAUGGUGUCCAUGGAUAACAUAUGGGUUGCAAUAUUAAUGAGCAUAAUAUUAUGGUUUUUUAAUUAGAAGAAACAGAAGUUAAUUUAGUUUAGCUCGCACACACGUCUUACUUCCUACCUGAAGUAGCAGGUUCAAAUCCUACUUAUGUCAGUAAUUUUAUUUAAAUUCGUCCCUCUAAAUUUAAUCAAUAAUUUUAUUUAGCUUCAUCUUUUUAAAUUUAAAAUGUCAAUUUAUUUACAAAAAUGCCAGUAGGUAUUGACAAAAAUACCCUAACCAUUUACGUAGUAACCUUUGUAUGUUAAAGGGCAAUUAUGUCAAUUCAUAGUCUAAACACUUAGGCACCAUAAUUUUUAGUCAGACUUAUCCCGUCAUUUAAGUUUAUCGGCAAUUGAUCAUCUACAUUCCAUUCCCAACAAUCAAAAUUCUGGCACGUUGAUCAAUAAACCCUAAAAUCGUUGUUGUUAUAUAAUUUGAAUUACACUAGACGCAUUUCAACAUAAUGGCAGCGAGAUGUUCAUCAGAAAGAAUGCAAACAAGACAACAAUGAAAAAGAAUUACUGCUUUGUUGUCGUACUUGAUCGAAAAAAUAGUAACUACGGUUGGAGGAAAUUCACCAAUCGAUGCUUUUAAGUGCCAGUUAGUGUAAGUAUGAUGUGCAUUACUUAUAUUAUACUUAUAUACAUAUUUAAUUUAGUGUUUAAUAGAUUAAUUUUGUUGAUUUGUGAAUUAUAGUUGCAAACUCUUUAGGGAUUCUAUAACAUCAGACGCAAUAUAUAAAAUCAUAGACACAAAUCGAUUAAGGUUUCGUCCAUUAAGUAUUCAACAAUAUGAAGUCAUAAGCAAAUGCAAAAAGUUGAACAACCCACACAUACUCUUCAACGAUGGAAUGGUACUCUUCUUUUAAGCAAUCGGAUAAUUAAGAAUUCAAUUAGUUUUUUAUAUUUGUAUUUUUAUAAUUGUAUGAUUAAUUAUUGUAUGUCAGGCGAAGUAUUUUACGGUAGGGGAAGAACUAGCAGGGAAACAGUUGCUUCAAGAUGCAGUUGAUCAUGGGCAGUUGGAUGCUAUCUUCAUUCUGGGAAUGAUGUUGAUGGCCGAAGGUAUUGAAAGGAAGCAAGAAGCUCUGAUCGUGUUAAAUAAUGCCUACGUUAAUACUAGAAGAAGUUGGAAUCUAAGGCAUACCUGUAACAAGGUUCAAAACCACUUGGCAAGGAGAUCAAAGCAGAUAAAAUUCCAUGGCUUACAUAGAAGCUGUGCAAAGCAUCCUUAUGUGAGCAGUUAUGAUUCAGCUUUUAUGUAUCAAUGCAGUUGGUUGUUUGUGGGAUGGAUGUUUUGGUAAGUGUGCUAGGAUGUUUGACAUUAGUUUGGAGUAGUUACAUAUAUGAUUGUUGUUUGAUUCACACAAUUAGUGAUGCAUAUUUUAUGUUUAUUUUGGUGUAAUGGGAAUACAUAUUUUUAACUUUAUUAAAUGUUAAUAUAUAUAUAUAUAUAUAUAUAUAUAUNNNNNNNNNNNNNNNNNNNNNNNNNNNNNNNNNNNNNNNNNNNNNNNNNNNNNNNNNNNNNNNNNNNNNNNNNNNNNNNNNNNNNNNNNNNNNNAAUCAACAUAUAUAGGUUUAGAUAUUACACAUUGAUACCCUCUAUUCUAUAAUAUAUUGAUUUGUGUCUAAUAUAUAUAUAUAUAUAUAUAUAUAUAUAUAUAUAUAUAUGUUAGUUUUUAUAUGUAUGUUAUUUUUGUCUUUUUCAUUUUACUAACUAAAAGUUCAUUGUGACCUAGUUUUGAUAUAGAUUUCAAGGGCACUUUGGUCUAUUUGCAAUCUCUAAAGUGAAGGGGCCAUUUUUGCUAUGGAAAAAAAAAAAAAUUUAAUCAAGUCGUUAUUAAAAGGAAAAUAUUGUAUAUAUAGAAUUUAUAUUAUAAGUAGAUCUAUAUCUAUAUUUAUUAUGAAUGUUAUUUAAAUUUAUAAUUACCCGUAUACUACAUGGGUUUUAACCUGGUACUGAAUAAUAUCGACCCACUAAUAUGACCUAGUAUCCAUCCAACACAUUGAAAUCAAGGGUUGUCGAAGGUUCUUUAAUCGAUACACACUUUGUUUGAAUAUGUGUUCUGCAAGUGUCGAUCUCAAUUAAACCAUUCUACUAAUUUUCUAAGACUUUAUCCAAUAAUAAAAGUUAUUCAACCAUUCAAAUUAGAAAACUUUGAGGAUUUGUUCAGCAUUUGGUCAUUAGCUUUGUGAAACAAGUCGUUGUUAAGGUACCUUUGCGAUGUUUGUAUGGUAACUAUAUAUUUACUUCAAAUGUCAUAUAUGAAUUCAAAUCAACAUUAAUGAACAUAAAAUUAAUAUUGUGUUAUUGAAAUUUAUACUUUACAAAUUUAAGACAAAGAACAAUUCAAGUAGAAAAUGGAUGUAUGAAAGAAAAGAUAAUAGUAGUUGUAUAUCGCUUGUUUUCAUACAAGGAGUGAAAAUAUUUAUAGAUUUUGCUACCACUCAACAUAGGUUCAUGGAUGAAGAUAAAUCAAAUGCCCAUGCAUAAAAUGUCGUAACAUACCAUAUACAUAAGUUGAUAUUGUUAAACAUCAUUUGUACAAGUUUGGUUUUGUUGACGAAUAUUGGUUUUGGGAUAAACAUGGCGAAACAUCAAUUGAUGAUGACAAUACGUUUUUAGGGGUUGAUGAUUCAAACACAAAUUUUAGAGAAGGUGCAUGUUCUUAUAGAGAAAUGGUCAUAGAUACAAUGGCUACUGAUUUAAAUAAUAUUGAUCCUGAAGAGGAGCCAAAUGCACUAGAUAAAAAAAAUUCUUUAAUAUGCUAGAUGCAGCCGAUAAAGAAUUAUGGCCUGGAUGUAAAAAAAAGUGACACAACUAUCUGCUGUAGCUAGACUAUUGAAUUUAAAAUCAGAGUAUCUCAUACCUGAGCAUAGUUAUGACACUAUCUUCCAGUUGAUAAAUGAUGUGUUACCAGAGGAGAAUAAUAUGGUAGGUAGUUUAUACGAGAGCAAAAAGUUAAUACAAGCACUAGGUUUGCUCAUGGAGAUGAUUGACUGAUGCAGGUCUGGAUGUAUGAUAUAUUGGAGUCAAGACAAAGAUCUUUGUCGGUGCAAAUUCUGCAAUGCAGAUAGGUACAAACGGUCAAAAAAUUUGGCUAGAUGUUCUCGCGUAUCCUUCAAGAAAAUCUAUUACUUUCCUUUGACUCCAAGGUUGAAGAGACUAUAUGCUUCAGAAGCCACAGCCACUUCCAUGCGAUGGCACUCUGAGAAUCAUAGACAUGAUGCUGGAGUAAUGUGUCAUCCAUCCGGUUCAAAAGCUUAGAAGCACUUUGACAAAAGUCAUCCUUCAUUUGCAGCAGAAGUACGUAAUGUAAGAUCAAGCCUAAGUACAGAUGGGUUUGCACCACAAGGAGCAUUUGGAAAGCAAUAUUCAUCUUAGCAUAUUAUUAUAACACCUUAUAACUUGCCAACUUCUAUAUGCAUGAAAGAGCCUUACAUGUUUUUGACUGCCCUUGUGACAGGACCGUCAAACCCUAAGCAUAAAAUAGAUGUAUUUUUGCAACCAAUUGUUGCAGAGUUAGAGCAAUUAUGGGAAGAAGGCGUAGUAACAUAUGAUAUAUCCUUAAAACAAAAUUUCCAUCUAAGAGCAGCUUUGAUAUGGAAAAUAAGUGAUUUUCUAGCAUAUGCAAUGUUGUCCGGAUGGCUACAGUAGGUAAGCUAGCAUGUCCUCAUUGUGGGAAACAUACACAAGCAUUCAGACUAGAGAAUGGUAAUAAGAUGUCAUGGUUUGACUGCCAUAGAAGAUUUCUACAGGUGAAUCACCCAUAUAGAAAGGAUAAAAAUAAGUUCAAGAAGAAUCGUGAAAUGAUAGAAGGUCCUCCUCCAAGUAAGAAUGGUGAACAAAAUUUAAGGAAGAUUGAACAAUUAUGUUUGGUAAAAGUGGCUGAACUAAAUGUUGAUGAUGUAAACAUAAUAUGUGGCGCUCAUGGUUGGAAAAAGAAAAGCAUAUUUUGGGAUUUACCAUAUUGGAAAAAAAUCUCAUUAGACAUAAUUUUGAUGUUACGCAUAUUGUGAAAAUUUUAUUUGAAACUUUUUUUACACUAUAAUGGAUGUCAAAGGGAAGAUGAAGAACAAUGUAGCAGCCAGAAGAGAUCUGAAGCUCUAUUGUAGGAAGAGAAAAGGAGUCGAAGAUAAUGAAAGAGCAUACUACACUCUGGAGCAAAAUCAAAAGAAGGCCAUAUGCCAAUGGGUGGAGAAAUUGUGUUUCCCCGAUGGUUAUGUUUCUAAUUUGGGGAGGUGUGUUGCUUUAACAGGGUGUAGACUAUUCCGAAUGAAAAGCCACGAUUGUCAUGUUUUUAUGCAAAGAUUGAUGCCAAUUGCAUUCCGUGAGAUGUUGCCAAAACAAGUGUGGGAAGCAUUAACAGAGUUGAGUAUUUUCUUCAAAACAUUAACAGCAACAACAAUCACAGCAAAAGACAUGGAAAUGAUUGAAACCGAGAUCCCAAUAAUACUAUGUAAAUUAGAGACCAUCUUUGUCCCGGUAUUUUUUUACUCCAUGAAACAUUUACCAGUACAUUUUCCAUACGAAGCAAAGAUAGUCGGUCAUGUCUAAUAUCGGUGGAUGUAUCCAUUUGAAAGGUUUGUAUCGUACAUCAUAAUGUAUGUUGCUAUUUUGUACGCUGAUUUAAAUAAUCUUCACCAUAGGUAUCUAAAUCAAUUGAAAAAUGAUGUGAAAAAUAAAGCUCGAGUGGAAUGGUCCGUUGUUAACGCAUACUUGCUACGUGAAGCAUCAAUAUUUUGCUCUCAUUAUUUCAAUACUGGUGUCCCCACAUGUAAUAGAAAGUUGCCUCGAAAUGAUAAUGGAGGAGGAGAUGAGAAAGCGGAUGCUAACCACGACAAGUUAGAUAUAUUUUCAUAUCAUGGGCGUCAUUAUGGAAGAUUCACGAAUAGAAUGAUGUCUGAUGAGGAAGUACAUGCUGCCCAAACUUACAUACACCUUAACGAAGAUAAAAUCAAGCAUUACAUUAGGUACGUAACAUUUGCAUCAAUUUUAAUUAUAAUAAUCAUUUGUUGUGUAAUUUCUAUGAAUUAAUAACAUUAACACGCAUGAUUUUGUUUAUUACAUUCAUAGUAACUUCAAAAUGUUAUUCAAAUUGUGAUACAAAAUAUUUGAAGAAAAUUUGAAUGAACUUAUAAGGGAUAUAAAGGAAUAGGUCCUUGCAGCUGAAGUUGAGAAGAACUUUGCAGUAUGGUUUCAAAACUAUGUGGGUUUUAUUCUUGUAUUUUUUAAAAAAAUCAUUAUUUUUUGUUAUGGUUAUAAUUAACUCUAAUUAAGUGUUUUACCAUUUUUCAUAUAGGCACGUAAGAUCCCGAUAAACAACAAGUAUAUAUCUGACCUUUCCAAAAUGCCAUUCAAAAAAGUGAAAUUAUAUAGUGUAUACUUUGCCAAUGGUUACAAGUUUCACACAGAAACUCAUAGUCUGAACAAAUCAACAACCAAUAGCGGAUUGUGUGUUAGUAGCUAAGGAGGUGAUUAUUAUGGUAAGGUAGAGGAAAUUUUAGAAGUCGAGUACCCUGGUUACCCAAUUAAAACCGCAGUUUUGUUUAAAUGUCAUUGGUACGAUCCAACACCUAACAUAGGAGUUAAGGUUCACAAACAAUAUAACUUGGUCGAGAUAAAUGUCAAAAGAAAAUACAACAAGUUCGAACUAUUUGUUUUAGCCAUGCAAGCCACUCAAGGGUGUUACAUUCCUUACCCAAUUUUGAAAACAAACAACUCGGACUGGUGGGAUGUAUUUAAAGUUAAACCUCGUGGUUAGACCGAUGAAAAUCAUCAUCAGAAAGACGUUGCAUUCCAAGAAGAUGAAGUUGAAUCAAAUGAAAUCAUCAUACCAAGUGUAGCCAAUAUAAACAAUUAUGAUGAUCACGAAAUGUCAAGCAACGGUUUAGAUAAUGAAAAUAAUAUUGAUGAAGAAGGUGAAAUUCAUGAGGACGACAAUGAUGGUAUUUCUGACAGCGUAGGUAGUUGUGAGUAUAGUACAUCGAGCAAUGAAGAACAAGAGGAGGAAGAAGAAGAGGAGGAAGAAGAUAAUGACAAGAUGCUUUCGUGUUUAAUGUUUUUUUUUCAAAUGAAGUUAAUUUGUCAUUUGGUUUAAUAUCAUUACAUAAAUGAAAACUAGGAAGAAAGCCCAGGAUUUGCCCCGGGAUGUUUUUUGUGUUUUUUAUGUCAAAAUGUAAAACUAUUGACUGUAAAGCCGAAGAGUAUGAAAGUGGCUAUAAUUUUAUUUUUGUUUUGUGUUUACAUCAUUUUUUUAAAAGGGCAUUUUAGUCAUUUUUGAUUGCUAUGUUGUUUGAGUAGGAUGAAGUAUACGUAAAACCCAUGUUAUUUUUUGUGAUGAAGUAUAGUUAAUGUAAUUAAAAAUAAGUUUGAAAUGAAUUCGUUGUUAAUUAUUUUUUAUAUACUAUGUUUUCAUGAAAUUAUACACAACUUGAUUAGCACAACUGGCUUAACCGCGCCCUUUUCUAGCAUAAGCAUAUGUUCGAGUCCGCUUGCCAACAAUAUCUACUUUAUAAUUCAUUUUUACAUUUUUUAGCCAUUAGUUUAUGACACAUAUUAACAAUUCAAAAACAUUUCAUUCAAACCAUAUCUUACAAAUUCCAUUGAUCAUAAUAAUAAUUCAUCCAUAGUAUAAGAAGAUUAAUUAGGCAUACAACAUCCAAACAAAUGCCGUCACAAAUUAGCUACGUGUUUUGUUCGAUGCCAAAACAAGCAAACGAAAUCAUAUUCCAUAGCAGAAUUCCCUAGCAAAUACCUACGGAUGGUACUUCCAUAGCAAUUCAACUAUGAAAUUGGUUUCCGUCACAAACUUCAUUGCAUAGUAACCACGAUAAUGAAUUCCAUAGCAGCAAUACAACGGAAAGUGAUUUGGUAACAAAUGUCGUUGGAAAGUUGCUACAAAUUUUUCUUCCAUAGAACUCUCGGUAGCAUAAUACCAACGUAUAUGGAGUCAGUAGCAUUUUCCCUAGCAAGUCCCAUUCUCGCUACCAGAAAUGAAAUUUGUAGACAAUGAGGUAGCAACAUUGCUAUGGAACGACAUUUCACAUCACGAUCCAUUGCAGAUUAACAACGAAAAUACAUUCCAUAGGGACCUUCCUAGCAAAAUCACUUUUUUCUUGUAGUGUCAUAAAUAAGUGCGUGUCAUGGUUCGCAUGUCAUUAAAGGGUUGUUUUCUAGUAGUGGUAUUACUUUUUUAUCUUUUAGUACAACUUACACCUAAAGUUACCGAGAAGUCUUUCAUUAUAGCAACUCCGUAAUAGGAGCCCUUUCCUUUGUCUUCAUAGCGACAAUGUGGUUGAAAGAAAGAUCAGGCUCCUCAACUCUCAAUAUCCCAGGUGGAAAAUAAUAGCCCAAUCUUCUGCCACCUAAACUUAAUCUUUGUUAACCACAUCUCUCUAUAGGCCUUCCUUCUUUCCAAGUAUCUAGAAACCAAUUGAAGCUUUACAUGGAUUCAACUUCUGUAGCAUGAUUGCCUUGGAAAACAUGUCUACUAGAUUCUUAGUACCAAGGAUCUUCUUCGGGUUCCAAGUCCAAUGGCUUAUUGAUUGUUUGAUAAACCGUUACUUCAUCUACACAUAUUUUGUUCUAUCAUGAAUGAUUAGAUUCUUUGAAAGGUGAAAUGCACUAUGGUUUUAAUAAAGUAGGACACAAUCUUUUUUUUGCCCAAAUAUAUGAAUAUUUUCAAGCAAAUAAGUUCUAAGGAUAAUUUUUUCAAUUUCCAUUCAUUAUGCUUCUAUGGUUAAUAGAUGAAUACUCUUUCCAAAGUGUGGAUAUCCAACUGAUGGUUAUACCUGCAAUGGUAUACAAAAACCCUGUUAUGGUUUUCCCUAAAUAUCUAGAACAUNAAGUAGGACACAGUCUUUUUUGUGCCCAAAUCUAAGAUGAAAAUUUUCAACCAGAUAAGUUCUAAGUACAAUUUUUUCAAUUUCCAUUCAGUAAGCUUCUAUGGUUAAUAGAUGGAUACUCUUUCCAAAGUUUGGAUAUCCAACUGAUGGUUAUACCCACAAUGGUAUACAAAAACACUAUUAUGGUAAGGUAACCACAUAAGUUUCUUUCUUCUAAAGGUAAGGUAACCACAUAAGUGCUUUUCAAGUAGCAUAACAGACGCUUCAUCCCUUCCUAAUUACUUUUCUUGUAUUUGACAUAAACCUGCUACUGCCUCCCACUACAUUACAAUUUAAGAUCUAGUGCAUAACGUAUCAUAAAUGAAGUUACAGUUAACUAAGGCAUACGAGACUUUAGCCAUUUCUUCCACAUACAAUGUNCUACAUUACAAUUAAUGGUCUAGUGCAUAGCGUACCAUACAUAAAGUUACAAUUAACUGAGGCAUAAGGGACUUUAGCCAUUUCUUCCUUGUUUCUACAUGUCUUCACAAAGAUAACUUUCUAUUGCUUUCCAAGAAUUCAUUUAUUUCAAAAGUCAAUAAUCACACUUUUCAAAUUCGGAAUUCUUCGAUUCAAAGUUAACAUCUUCAUCUAUCACUCAGUCGUAUGCCCAUGUCUUUGUACCAUAAAGUAAAUGUAUGUGUUUCUUUAAUAAACACAUUUCCCCUGUUGCACAAAUAUCAACCAUAUACACUGUUUCCUAUCGAAAACAAUGAUAGACCACGAGGAUCAUUUUUUGUUGUUAAUUCUACACAUAACGAAAUUUUUUGUUUUCAAUUCUACAAUGUUUUAGAAAUUAUAAUGUUUUUACUAAUGACUUUUGAUUUUGACCAACUAAACUAUAUAAUUAGAUAUGAACGAAAAAGAUAUUUCAAUUAUUGUAGUGUGCUGUUAGACAAUGCGUUUUUAAAGUGUAAAUGGAAUCUUAUACUUGUGUAUUUAUUUGUAAUUUCAAUUUGAAUGUUUACAAUGAAUCAAAGAAUAAAUAAUCAUGAAGAUCAGAAAUCGAUCAAUAAAGAAUAAAAAAUAUGGAUAUCAAGUUAGUAAACAGGCUUAAAGGAAUCUAGAGGUCUUGCAUUCCGCUGAAAUACCAUUGGGAAACCGUUUGUGGUCGUUGCAGUAGUUGUAGAUCAUGUGCUUGGUUUGCACCCAUCGGAUCCUAUUUCGGCCAGCUGCAUCAAGUCCUUGGGUACUCCAUGACUGGUUAUCAUUUAUUGAGCUUGUAGAUACUGAAUUGGGACCAACUUUUUUGGCAUUGGCAUUGAAUUUCCUGUAUAACGCGGUGAAAGGCGCAUUAGUCCAGUCGGUCUUCACACGCCCACCUUGGGUUGCCCAGUCAUCCGCGUUCCACAGGCUGGCAUAAACCCUCAUGGGUUGGCUCUUGGGAAAUGGGACUCCAGCAGCAUCAUUGUUAUUGAACACCCUUACUGGUAUGUUAUCUAUUAAGAAACUGCAGAGACAAAGAGCUUUAUAUAGGAACAGCAGAAAAACAUGAGAAAGGAAGAGAACCAAUUAAUGUUUAUGUUGGAUGCGUGACUUACAUAAUUCUUAGACUGUUCCAUACGAUGGUAUAGGUGUGGAAGGCUGCGGUAGGGUCAAACCAAAGGUGGAACUGCUGUUCUUUGUUUCCUUUCCCUUGUGAAUACACAUUGGUGUGAAUUGUGUAAGGGUUUCCCGUGGAGUUGCCCAAGAACUCGAAGUCGAUCUCAUCGUGACCCGCACCUUGUGAUGACAACUAAUGUGAUUUAAUACAAAGACAUGGUUAUUAUCAGCCUUUAAAAGAUUAAUACAAAUGAGUGAUCACAAUAUAUAUAUAAUUCAGAUAUGAAAUUCAAGAUUGGAACCGAUCGAUGGUACUCACGUAGAAUGUGGUGACGGUGCCAGCAGAAUUGCCUGGUACUAGUUUGAGUUGCAUGUCGAACCUUCCAAACAGGUACUCGUGCUUCGACUGGAAACCCGAUCCAGAGUAUUGGUCGAGUGAAAGUGAAAGAUCCUGACCUCCAUUCAGAAUUUUAGCACGUUCACCCCCAAAACUGAUGUCCAUGUCAUCGUAAAAACUCCCUGCUGAUGCUGCUACUAUUAGAAUUGAUAUUAAAAGAACAACUGCACAAAGAUUAGAGUUCGACUUUGCCAUUAUUGUUUGUAUGGAGAGAGAGAGAGAGAGAGAGAGAGAGAGAGAGAGAGAGAUGUUAUGUUUGUGGGAAGUAGUACUGAUAUCGUUUAUAUAUGUAGGUGUGGCUACGUUGACAAUUUUCAACAGGAACCAUCCUUGUUACUGAAGGAUGUCAUGAUGGCUAAUGGAUGCACCAAUAUCUAUUGACGCGUGACAACUCACAUUAUUCUUCUGGUUCUGGACAUGGGCAGGAGCGGUGGGGUUUUUUCUUUAUUUUUUUCUAAACGUCUGCCAACUCAAAUUUUGCAAAUUUGUCAUAUUUGGACCGGUGGUUGACAUCAUAGGUAAAAUACACUUGUUUUAAUUGUUAAUAAGUUGGGAAAAUCAAAUCUUUAAAAACGCAUUUACAACAUUUACAAUCACAUUUCACACUAUUAAAAAACUAAUUAUAAAUCCCUCUGUAAAAGGAACCAUCUUAUUGAUGAUAAAACCGUAGGCAAAUUCCCCAAACAUCUACCUUUUCAUUUAAGUUGGUUACCAAAUUCCUCCAUUUUAUCUAAAAUUUUGGUUUCCCUCGGUUUCCACAUUAAAUGAAAGCACCACUUGUAAGGAAUAAAAGAUUUAUAAGAAUUGGAUCAAACUCAACUCUAUGUACAUUGAAUAAAGAAAUAUGGGAAGGAAACCUACAAUCUGUUCUUUGUGAUGAUUUAUUCUUGGUUCAUUCGGAACUCUAUCUAUUAUUAUAUUAUGCACAAUUAUAUUUCUUAAUUGUCACAUUCUUAAAACUAAUUAAAAGUCAUCAUAUAUUGAUUUCUUUGGAAAUGUUAGGAUCUUGAUUGAGUUCUUGAAAUUUGGCAAUGAAAGUAAAUUCGUCAUAGGCUUUAACAAGUACAUAGAUGUUGUGACUGCAAUAUUUACUGUAGGUGUGAAAUUGAAGAUGAUGUUUGAGGACGAGGACACUCCUUGAAGAGGGUAACUAAGAAAUUUACCGUUAUUUGUCUUUUUGAGUUUUUAAAUGUGUUGUAAUCUAAACAGCAAUUUUAUAGGGAAAAUAAUAGCAGCUAAAUUUUUUUGCCUUAGUCAUAACUUUUUGAUGGUGAUAGUUGAAUAUUUAUAUAUGUUGUAGUUUUCUUCUUUAAAUUUAACAGAUUCAUUGAAAGAAACCAAGAAAAAAAUGGUAUCUUGCAUGUGAUGAACAUGUAUCUACCAUGUGAACAUAAUGGAUAUUCACAGAAGACCAGUUCUUUUAUCUCAACUCUAUAAAUACGUACAAAUAUAUUCUUAGAAAAGUAAAAACUCAAGAACUUCCCGACAUGGACAAUUUAUUCACCAUAAACCAGUUCGUUUGUACAACAAUACUUACAAAGGAAAUCAUCACUACAUAGCUCACACUCUAACGUAUACACAAAAUGAUUUUACUGUAAUCGGAAAUACAAACCCUUGAUAAUACAGAAAACCCUAAUCGAGAGUUAGAGAGAAAAGAUAUAGCAAUCUACAGAAUGCAUCAUAUGAUUGAGACGAGCCAGCUGACCAACAAGCAUAUAUACCCGGAUCAUGAAAAGUGACCUGGUGGAUCGACAAACUCGCAUUUGCAAUAAGAAACUUACACAACAACCCAUGCAUAAUAACGUCAAUACAAAAAUUGACCAAACUAUCCCGAAAUUACAAAAUGUUGUGCUUAAAUAAAUAAAUAUAUAUAUAUAUAUAUAUAUAUAUAUAUAUAACAUAACCCCUUCUCAAACUUAACAUUUUAAUCAUUUAUCAUAAAAAUGUCAAUAAGACCCAAUCUUUUUGAAAAUAUUCAUGUUGAAACGAAACUAAAGAUUUUGUAAGAAUGUGAGCAUUGUAAUCAUAAGAGUCAACCUUAACAACUUCAACAAUACCAUUAUCAGUUCUUUUUCCUAACAAAAUGAACAUCUACUUCAAAAUGCUUCAAUUUUUCAUGAAAAACUAGUUUAACAGCUAAUUGGAUUGUAGACUCAUUAUCACAAAAAAAAUUAACUGGAGUUAAAUUUUUAAAACCAAGAUCAAAUAAAAAUUUUAAUACCCACAAAAUUUCACAAAUAGCAGACCCCAAAGCAUGGUAUUUAGAUUCAGUGGAAGAUCUGGACACCAUACUUUGUUUCUUACUUUUCUAGGAAAUAAGAGAAACUCUCCGAUAAACUAAGUACCCUAUUAUUAGUCUUCUAGCGGUACGCACUUGGCCCAGUCAACAUCAAAAUAUCCAACAAGAUCAAAACAUUAUAUUUAUGAAUAAAAACAUUUUUUUCUUGGAUUAGACUUUAAAUACCUCGACAACCGAAAGCAUUGUUCAAAUGGGACUUAUGAGGUUUAUGCAUAUGUUGACUAAGAAUUUGAACAUCAUAAGCAAUAUUUAGUCUAGCAACAGUUAAAUAAAUGAGCUUACCUAUUAUAAGUUUCUGAAAUUCAGAAAUAUUAACAAAACUGUGAGAACUAUAUAUCACAAUGCUUUGGAAUAACUAGAUUUUUCUUGAUUUAAACAGAUACCACCAUUAACAGACAUGACCUCUAUGCCUAGAAAAUAUUUUAAUUCUCCAAAGUCUUUAAUUAAAACCUGAGACUUAAGAAAAUCCUUCACACAAUUGAUUUCACAAAUACAAUUGCUUGUUAAAAUGAUAUUAUCCACAUAUACAAGUAAUAUAACAAAAGUAUCACCUUUUGACCAAACAAACAAAGAGUAAUCAUUUAUGCUUUGAAUAAAACUAAAACUUGAAAGAGAAGAACACAUCUCAUUCCAUUUUCUAGGUGCAUGUUUAAGCCUAUAUAAAGGUUUGACAAGUUUGCAAAAUUUAUUAUCAUUAAUUGAGUGAUAUCCAUUAGGCAAACUCAUAUAAACAUCUUCAAUUAAAUCACCAUAAAGAAAAGCAUUAUCAAUGUCAAGUUGAUAAAGACGCAAAGAUUUAUUAACAACUAAAUUAAUAACAAUCCUAACAGUAACAGUCUUUUCAACUUGAGAAAAUGUCUCAUCAUAGUCUAUACCCUCUCGUUGACUAUACCCUUUUGCAACAAGCCUAGCUUUGUAUCUCUUAAUUUCUCUAUUUGAUUUAUAUUUAAUUUUAUAUAUCCACCUACAUCCAAUUGGCUUUCUAUGUUUAGGAAGAUCAAUUAUUUCCCAUGUAAGAUUUCUAUACGAAGCCUCCAUUUCUUCAUUCAUUGCUUUGACCCAAUUUAGCUCAGAAACAACCUCUUUAUAUGUUUUUGGUUCACAUGUUUCAUGUCAAACCCCCAAACCGAGAACGGCAGAAACGUUCGGGGGUGGAGGACGUCAUGUACAGUAUCAUAACAAUGCAUAAUAGUAAAACAAGCAACAACAUCUAAUGCAUUAAUAAUAUAGUUUAUACAUGUGUGUUCUGUGUAUAGUUGUAAGACACCAAAAAUAUAUCAAAAUAAAAGACGAGUCUUGAACAUGCUCCGUCUUCUCAAAACCUUGUCUAGUGUACCUGUCUACUUGUGACUUGAGAAUACAGGUUAUUUUGAAACAGAGAAUCAACAUUUAAGUUGGUGAGUUCAUAAGUAUUUUAGUGUCAAAAGUUCGCAUUUGUUUUAUGAAAAAGUUUGCAAUUGUUUGAUGAAAAUGUUUGAAUACUUCCUACAAAAAUCCUAUAUUUCCUUUUAAUAGUGAUAACUGAACUGUUAUAGUUUUUCCUUAAGUUUAACGGAUUCAUUGUAAGAAACCAAGAAAAAAUGGUAUCUUGAAUGGGAUGAACAUGUGUCUACCAUGUGAACAUAAUGGAUAUCUACAAGAGAGAUUGAAACUAUCGUAACAAAACAUAAGAUUAGUCUAAAAACAACAUGAUAUUCAAUGUCGAACUGACAUCUAAUGGUUACGUAUGUCUCAAAUGUAUAAAUAUGUACAAUCAUAUAUUGGCUAUGUAUCCAUCCGUAAAGGGAACCAUCAACCUUGGACUUCUAGUUGAUUAAGGAUUUAGUACAGAUCAUCGACAAACAGAUGUGAAAUCUUCCUAAUUUAGCAUAUCUUUAUCCAUUUUGGUGUUAAAACUUAUAUGUUGAAGUCUAUUUGAGCCCAAUAUGCAAUUAUUGUAUUUUUAUUAAGUUUUCAUUUGUGCGUGCAUCUUCUGUAACAAAGUUAAAAUUGCAGACCUUAAUUUUUAGAUAAAUACCUAGUAGAAAAAUAUCAUUUAAUGACACGCAUUGUGUGUCAUAAAAGGGUACAGAUGACACGCAGAUGUGUGUCAAAGAAGGCCCUGUCAUCAAGGAAAACGACACACAUUUAUGUUUCGUAACCAUACGACGCACAUUUUACGACACGCAAUGCGUAUCAUUAAAGCCCCUGUCAUAAAGAAAGACGACACACAUUUUUAUUUGUCAUAAUUUUAAAUAUUUAAAAAAUAUAUAUUUUGCUAUACAUAUUUAAUAAUUUUCAAAUUGGAUUACAGUUAAUGUCUCAAAAUAUAAAAUAGCAUAUCAUAUAAAAAAAGACAAUCCAUUUAAAAAUGUAUAGUAUGUCAAAUAACAAUAAUUAUUCCAAUGCUUAAAUAAAUGUAAUACAAAAACUAUUUCAAUAUAUAUCUUAUGAAUUCCCCUAACAAUACACCAUCUCCAAUUAAGACAUGUAUUCAGACCAAUUUACCUACUAAAAAUGCAACAAUUGAAACAUGAGACCCAACCGAUACUUCAUAUAGUCCGUUUGGUCCUUUAUCAUUCCAUAUUGGCCAAGUGACCUCCAAGAUUCAGAUGUGUUUCUUCAAUCCAUUUUUUGGUUGACUCUAUGACACCAAAGUAUGUUACACCUAUUGCAAGAGAUCCAGUUACCCUAGGUGUCACCUCUUUAUAAAAAACAAUACUCAAAAACUAAUAGCAAGUGAUAUAAUAUUAAAUGAAUAAAUGUUGCUCCUAGAUUAUUUUCCGCUUUCAUUUGAUUUACCUAAAAUCCAAAUCGUUGCAAAUUAAAUAAAACAAGAUUAUUAAAAAAAGCUUUCUUAUUUCUUUAAUGGGUUAAAUAGAAGUCACAAUUUUAGCUUUCAUGGAUUCAUCUUCCAAAUUAUCACAACUGUUUUUAAUACAAAUAACAUGUAUAACAACCUACAAGGUUUUAUCUUCUAUUUCAGGAUGGUAAUAAAAUGGAGAAUCGAUUUGCUAAAUGGAUAGUAAUACCAUACAUUUACAAACUCCCCUACAGCAAAUUUAGCAAGCAAAAGCUACUACAUGAAAAUAAACUAUCUAUAGUCUUUUUCGUAAUAAAAAGCACAAACCUAAUGGAAAAUUAAGAACGUUAACACUAAAACACCAAAAAAAAACAUCAAACUAAUUAAAAAGUAACAAUCGGAUUUUGUAACAAAAGAAAACAAUUUCCAAUUGCCAAUUUCUAAUUUCCAAUCAUAAUCAAUAUUUCAAACCUAAAAAGUUAAAAAAAAUAUAUAAUAUAAUUAACAAGCGAAUUAGUUAUUACCAAGUUAUUGAGGCUCACUCAGGCUUAUGCGACAUCAAUGCUCACUCUGGUCUCUAGUAACAACCUUUACUUCGGAAAAGACAAUUGCACAGUGGAGGGAAGAUUUUAGGCGGCCAGGUCAGAGGAGUCAUGAGGGAACGAGGGUUAAUGAAGAAGAAAGAGAGAAUAAGAUAUGAUGUAUGUAAACAACGAGAUUUAAUGAACCCUAAAAACCUAAACACGAAUAUGUAUUGUGUUCAUAGGAAGGUUGGAGUUGAUACCAUGGUUGCAGAGCUGCAAUAAGAUGAAAGGGAGAUCCACAACCACGAAAUGCCAUUAGGUUUCUUUGGUAGAUGAUUUUACAGAAGAAGGAGGAGACGCAUCAUAGACAUAAAAAUGACGAAUGGAAGAUGAUUAGAGAAUAAGGCGAUGGGGUUUUUAAUUUUUUGGGGAUUUCAUCCCCCCCACCCCUCUUAGUUAUUUAAGGAUGGGAAACGUGUGUUUUUCUACAUGAAAAAUUAUAAAAUGACAUGCUUAUAUGGCAUGCUUGUUUUGAUAGGUACCCUCCAUGUAUUUUUUUUUUGUUACACUAAUAUUACAGCACGCAAAAAUGCGUGUCCUAAAUGCUUCAAGUUUUGGGAGAGCUGACAUUAUUUUUAGGGCAUACAAUUUUACAUAUCAUAAAUCAGUGUGUGUCAUGGUUUGCAUGCAAUUAAAGGACUGUUUUCUAGCAGCGAUAGUACUUUCUUAUCUUUUUAUACAACUUACACCAAAAGUUAUCGGGAAGUCUUUCCUUGUAGCAACUCCGUAACUAGAGCCCUUUCCUUUAUCUUCAUAGCGACAAUGUCGUUGAAAGAAAGAUCAGGCUCCUCAACUCACAAUAUCCUAGUUAGGAAAUGAUCAACCAAUCUUCCGCCACCUAAACUUAAUCUUUGUUAACCACAUCUCUCUAUAGGCCUUCCUUCUUUCCAAUUAUCUUUCCAACUAUCUAGUAGCCAAUUGAAGCUUUACAUAGAUUCAACUUUUGUAACAUGAUUGCCUUGGAAAACAUGUCUACUAGAUUCUUAGUACCAAGGAUCUUCUUCAGGUUCUGAGUCCAAUGGCUUAUUGAUUGUUUGAUAAAGUGGUAGUUCAUCUACACAUAUUUUGUUCUUUCAUGAAUGAUUAGAUUCUUUGAAAUGUGAAAUACACUAUGGUUCUAAUAAAGUAGGACAUAGUCCUUUUUUUUUGUCCAAAUCUAAUAUGAAAAACUUCAACCAAUAAGUUCUAAGGACAAUUUUUUCAAUUUCCAUUCAUUAUGCUUCUUUAGUUAAUAGAUGAAUACUCUUUCCAAAGUAUGGAUAUCCAACUGAUGGUUAUACCCACAAUGGUAUACAAAAACCCUAUUAUGGUUUUCCCUAAAUAUCUAGAACCUCCCUUAUCUACAUCACUGAAGCCUUUUAAGACUAGUUUCUUUCUUCUAAAAGCAAAAGGAAACCACAUAAGUGCUUUUCAAAUAGCAUAACGACCACUUCAUCCCUUCCCAAUUUUUUUUCUUUUAUUUGACAUAAAACUGCUAAUGCCUCCCACUACAUUACAAUAUAAGGUCUAGUGCAUAACAUAUCAUAGAUGAAGUUACAAUUAACUGCGGCAUAUGUGAAUUUAGCCAUCUCUUGCUUGUUUCUACCCGUCUUCACAAAUGCAACUUUCUAUUGCUUUCCAAGAAUACAUUUAUUACAAAUGUCAAAAAUCACACUUUUCAAAUUCGGAAUUCUUCAUUUCAAAGUUAACAUCUUCAUCUAUCACUCACUCACAUGCCUAUGUCUUUGUGUCAAAAAGUAAAUGUCUGUGUUUCUUCAAUAAACACAUUUCCACCAUUGCACAAAUUUCAACCAUAUACAACGUUUCCAAUCGAAAACAAUGAUAGACCACGAGCAUCAUUUUUUGUUGUUAAUUCUACACGUAACGAAAUUUGUAUGCAGUGUCGAAGGAAAAAGGGUUUUAGAAAUUAUAAUGUUUUUAUUAAUGACUUCUAAUUUUGAGCAACUAAACUAUAUAAUUAGAAAUGAACAAAAAUGACAUUUCAAUUAUUGUAGUGUGUGUUAUAGAAUGUAUUUUUUAAAGUGAAAUUGGAAUCUUAUACUUGUGUAUUUAUUUGUAAUUUCAAUUUGAAUGUUUACAAUGAAUCAAAGAAUAAAUAAUCAUCAAGAUCAGAAAUUGAUCAAUAAAAAAUAAAAAAUAUGGAUAUCAAGUUAGAAAGCAGGCUUAAAGGAAUCUAGAGGUCUUGCAUUCUGCUGAAAUACCAUUGAGAAACCGUUUGCGGUCGUUGCUGUAGUUGUAGAUCAUGUGCUUGGUUUGCACCCAUCGGAUCCUGUUUCGGCCGGCUGCAUCAAGUCCUUGGGUACUCCAUGACUGGUUAUCAUUUAUGGAGCUUGUAGAUACUGAAUUGGGACCAACUUUUUUGGCAUUGGCAUUGAAUUUCCUGUAUGACGCGGUGAAAGGCGCAUUAGUCCAGUCGGUCUUCACACGCCCACCUUGGGUUGCCCAGUCAUCCGCGUUCCAUAGGCUGGCAUACACCCUCAUGGGUUGGCUCUUGGGAAAUGGGACUCCAGCAGCAUCAUUGUUAUUGAACACCCUUACUGGUAUGUUAUCUAUCAAGAAACUGCAGAGACAAAGAGCUUUAUAUAGGAACAGCAGAAAAACAUGAGAAAGGAAGAGAACCAAUUAAUGUUUAUGUUGGAUGCGUGACUUACAUAAUUCUUAGACUGUUCCAUACGAUGGUAUAGGUGUGGAAGGCUGCGGUAGGGUCAAACCAAAGGUGGAACUGCUGUUCUUUGUUUCCUUUCCCUUGUGAAUACACAUUGGUGUGAAUUGUGUAAGGGUUUCCCGUGGAGUUGCCCAAGAACUCGAAGUCGAUCUCAUCGUGACCCGCACCUUGUGAUGACAACUAAUGUGAUUUAAUACAAAGACAUGGUUAUUAUCAGCCUUUAAAAGAUUAAUACAAAUGAGUGAUCACAAUAUAUAUAUAAUUCAGAUAUGAAAUUCAAGAUUGGAACCGAUCGAUGGUACUCACGUAGAAUGUGGUGACGGUGCCAGCAGAAUUGCCUGGUACUAGUUUGAGUUGCAUGUCGAACCUUCCAAACAGGUACUCGUGCUUCGACUGGAAACCCGAUCCAGAGUAUUGGUCGAGUGAAAGUGAAAGAUCCUGACCUCCAUUCAGAAUUUUAGCACGUUCACCCCCAAAACUGAUGUCCAUGUCAUCGUAAAAACUCCCUGCUGAUGCUGCUACUAUUAGAAUUGAUAUUAAAAGAACAACUGCACAAAGAUUAGAGUUCGACUUUGCCAUUAUUGUUUGUAUGGAGAGAGAGAGANUCGACUUUGCCAUUAUUGUUUGUAAGGAGAGAGAGAGAGAGAGAGAGAGAGAGAGAGAGAGAGAGAGAUGUUAUGUUUGUGAGAAGUAGUACUGAUAUCGUUUAUAUAUGUAGGUGUGGCUACGUUGACAAUUUUCAACAGGAACCAUCCUUCUUACUGAAGGAUGUCAUGGUGGCUAAUGGAUGCAUCAACAUCUAUUAACGCGUGCCAACUCACAUUAUUCUUCUGGACAUGGGCAGGAGCGGUGGGUUUUUUUUUCUAUACGCCUGGCAACUCAAAAUAUGCAAAUUUGUCAUAUUUGGACCGGUGGUUGACAUCAUACGUAAAAUAAAAUUGUUUUAAUAAUUUGUAAGCUGGGAAAAUCAAAUCUUUAAAAACGCAUUUAAAACAUUUAUCAAUCGCAUUUAACACUAUUAAAAAAAACUAAUUAUAUAUAUGUCGGUAAAGGGAACCAUCCGCAGCAACGGACUACCAAUUGAUUAACCAUUUAAUACAUUUCGUCGACAAACACAUAUGAAAUCUUGCUAAAUUAUCAACAUUUUAUCCAUUUCGGUGUUAACACUUAUUGAUGAUAAAUCCGUACGCAAAUUCCCCAAAAAUUUUCCUUUUCAUUUAGUUUUAUUACAAAAUUCGUCCAUUUUAUCCAAAAUUUCGGUUUCCUUCUCCCUCCUCGGCUUCCCCUUUAAAUGAAAGCAUCACUUGUACGGAAUGGGAGAUUUAUAAGAAAUUGGUCAAACUCAACUUCAUUUACAUUGAAAAAAGAAACAUGGUAAGGAAAGCUACAAUAUGUUCUUUGAGAUUAUUAAUUUAUUCUUAGUCCAUUCAACACUCUCUAUUAUUAUAUUAUGUACAAUUAUAUUUCUUAAGUAUCACAUUCUUAAACUUUAUUAAAUGUCGUCAUAUAUUGAUUUCUUUAGAAAGGUUGAGAUCUUGGUUGAGUUCUUCAAUUUUUAGAAGGAAUGUAAAUUCGUGAUAAGCUUGAACAAGUACAUAGAUGUUAUAAUUUACUGUAGGUGUGAAACCGAAGAUGACAUUUGAGGUCGACCACACUCCUUAAAGAGGGAAACUUAGAAAUUUACAAUUAUUGGUUUUUUUGAGUUCUCAAAUGUGUUGCAAUCUAAAAUGCAUGUUUAUAGGGAAAUAAUAGCAGUUAAAAAAAUUUGUCUUAGUCAUAACCUUGUAAUGUUGAUAAUUGAAUAUUUAUAUAUUUUAUAGAUUUUUUUUUCUUAAAUUUCAUGGAUUCAUUGAAAGAAAUCAAGAAAAAAAAAAAGGUAUCAUGAAUGGGAUGAACAUUUAUCUACCAUGCGAACAUAAUGGAUAUCUACACGAGGAUUGAAAUUAUCGUAACAAAACAUUACAUUAGUCUGAAAACAACAUGAUAUUUAGUGUCAAACCGACAUCUAGUAAUUACAUAUGUCUGGUAUCUAUAAAUAUAUACCUAUAUAUCCAUCGGUGAAGGGAACCAAUAAUGAUAGACUUCUAAUUGAUCAACGAUUUAGUAAAGAUCGUAAACAAAGAUAUAUAAAAUCUCACUAAUAUAGCAAAUUUGUACCUGUUUAGGUGUUAACACUUAUAUGUUGAUGUCUAUUUGAGCCCAAUAUGCAAUUAUUGUAUUUUGUUUUAGUUUUCAUAUUUGCUCGCAUCUUCUGUAACAAAGUUAAAAUUCUGGACUAAAGUUUUAACACAAAUAGUACUUGUUUAGCAUUUUAGUACAACUUACACCUAAAGUUAUUGUGAAGUUUUUCCUUGUAGCCACUCCGCAACAGGAGUCCAUACUUUGUCUCUAUAACGACCAUGAAGUCGAAAUGAACACCAGACACCUCAAGUAACAAUCUCAUCGACAAACACAUAUGAAAUCUAUGUAAAUUUCCAACUUUUUUACCUAUUUCGGUGGUAACACUUAAUGAUGGUAAAACCGGAUGCAAAUUUCCCCAAACAUCUUCUUUUUCAUUAAGUUUCAUUACUAAAUUGAACCAAUUAAUCUAAAAUUGUGAUUUCCCUCUCCUUCCUCGGUUUUCCCUUUAAAUGAAAGCAUCACUUGUACGAAUAAGAGAUUUAUAAGAAAUGGAUCAAACGCAACUCUACUUGUAUUGAAGAAAGAAAUAUAGGAAGGAAACCUACAAUUUGUUUUUGGAGAUUAUUUAUUCUUAAUUCAUUAUACUUUAUCCAUUAUUAUAUUAUGGACAAUUAUAUUUUUAGCAAUCACAUUCUUAAUGUUAAUUAAAGGUUAUCAUAAAAAGAAAAGGUUGGGAUCUUGAUUGAGCUCUUGAAAUUUGGAAGGGAAAGUAAAUUCCUCAUAGGAUUGAUGUUGUGACUGCAACUUACUGUAGGUGUGAAAUUGAAGAUGUUGUUUGAGGACGAGGAACCUCUUUAAAGAGGCUACAUAAAAAAAUUACCAUUUAAUGGUGAUAACUAAAUAUUUAUAUUUGUUAUAGUUUUUUUCUUAUUUAACGGAUUUAUUGAAAGAAACCAAGAAAAAGAAUGGUAUCAUGAAUUGGAUGAACAUGUAUCUACCAUGUGAACAUAAUGGAUAUUUACUGGAGAGAUUGAAACUAUAGUAACAAAACAUUAGAUUAGUCUGAAAACAACAUGAUAUUUAGUUUCAAACUGACAUCUAAUAGUUAUGCAUGUCUCAAAUGUAUAAAUACAUACAAGCAUUAUUAGCUAUUCAACGUUGGCUUCCAGUUCAUUAAGGAUUUAAUACAAAUCAUCGACAAAUAUAUAUGAAAUCUUCCUGAUUUAGCACAUUUUUACCCAUUUUGGUGUUAAAACUUAUAUGUUGCAGUCUAUUUGAGCCUAAUAUGCAAUUAUUGUAUUUUUAUUAAGUUUUCAUUUGUGCUUGCAUCUUUUGUAACAAAGUUAAAAUUUCGGACCUUAAUUUUUAGAUAAAUACACUAAUAGAAAAAUAUCCUUUAAUGACAAGAAUUGCAUGUCAUAGAAGGAUACAUAUGACACGCAAAUGCGUGUAAAUGAAGGGCCUAUCAUAAAGGAAGACGACACGCAUUUAUGUGCCCUAACCAUACGACACGCAUUUACGACAUGCAAUGUGUAUCAUUAAUGACAAGAAUUGCAUGUCAUAGAAGGAUACAUAUGACACGCAAACGCGUGUCAAUGAAGGGCCUAUCAUAAAGGAAGACGACACGCAUUUAUGUGUCGUAACCAUACGACGUGCAUUUACGACAUGCAAUGUGUAUCAUUAAAGCCCCUGUCAUAAAGAAAGAUAAUUUUAAAGGUUUUAAAAAAAUAUUCUUUUGAAUGGAUUUAAUAAUUUUCAAAUUAGAUGACACCUAAUGUCUCAUAACAUAAAAUAGCAUAUCAUUAAAAAAAAAAGACAAUCCAUUUAAAAAUAUAUAGUAUGUCAAAUAAUAAUAAUCAUUCCAAUGCUUAAAUAAUGUAAUACAAAAACUAUUUCAUCAUAUCUUAUCAACUCCCCUAAGAAUACACCAUCUCCAAUUAAGACAUGUAUUCAGACCAAUUUACCUACCACAAAUGCAACAAUUGAAACAUGAGACCCAACCGAUCCUUUAUAUAGUCCCUUUGGUCCUUUAUCUUUCCAUAUUAGCCCAAUGACCUCUAAGAUUCAGAUGUGUUUCUUCAAUCCAUUUUUUGGUCGAUUCUAUGACACCAAAGUAUGCUACACCUAUUGCAAGACAUCCAGUUACCCCAGGUGCCUCGUCUCUAUAAAAACAAUACUAAAAAACUAAUAGCAAGUGAUAUAAUAUUAAAUGACUAAAUGUUUGAUUCGACUAGAGAUUCCAUCAAUGACAGUCACGUUUGUUUCUCCUUCAUUGCUCCAAGAUUCUUUUCCACUUUCAUUUAAUUUACCAAGAAUCCAAAUGGUUGCAAAUUAAGUAAAACAAGAUUAUUAAAAAAAAGGUUUCUUAUUUCUUUAAUGGGUUACAUAAAAGUCACCAUUUUAGAUUUCAUGGAUUCAUCUUCUAAGUUAUCACAACUGUUAUUAAUACAAAUAACAUGUAUAACAACCUACAUAGUUUUAUCUUCUAUUUCAAGAUGGUAAUAAAAUGGAGAAUCGAUUUGCUAAAUGCAUAGUAAUACCAUACAUUUACAAACUCCCCUAUAGAAAAUUUAGCAAGCAAAAGUAAACAUUCCAUGAAAAUAAACUGUCUAUAGUCUUUUUCGUAUUAGAAAGCACAAACCUAAUGGAAAAUUAAGAACGUUACCACUAAAACAUCAAAAAAAAAAAAAAAAAAAAAAAAAAAAAAAAAAACCUCGUCAAACUAAUUAAAAAGUAACAAUCGGAUUUUGUAACAAAUGAAAACAAUUUCCAAUCAUAAUCAAUAUUUCAAACCUAAAAAGUAUUUAAAAAAAUAAUAUAAUUAUAAAGCGAAUAAGUUAUUACCAUGUUAGAGAGAGAGAGAUCAGGUACAUUGUAGACUCGCUCAGGCGACAUCAAUGCUCACUCUAGUCUCCAGUAACGACAUGUACUCCGGCAAAGACAACUGCACAAUGGAGGGAAGAUUUUAGGCGGCCAAUUAAGUCAGAGGAGUCAUGAGAGAACGAGUGUUAAUGAAUAAGAAAGAGAGAAUAAGAAAUGAUGUGUGUAAACGACGAGAUUUAAUGAACCCUAGAAACCUAAGCACGAAUAUGUAUUGUGUUAAUAGGAAGGUUGGAGUGGAUACCAUGGCUGCAGAGCUGCAAAAAGAUGAAAGGGAGAUGCACAACUGCGAAAUGCCAUUAGGUUUUCUUCAGUAGAUGAUUUUAUAGAAGAAGGAGGAGACGCAUCAUAGACAUCCAAAUGACGAAUGGGAGAUGAUUAGAGAACAAGGCGCCGAGGUUUUUUAAUAUUUUGGGGAUUUCAUNNNNNNNNCCCCCCCCCCCCCCCCCCCCCCGCUAGUUAUUAAAGGAUUGGAAACGUGUGUCAUUCCUCAUGAAAACUUACAAAAUGACAUGCUUAUACGACAUGAUUUUCUUGAUAGGUACCCUCAAUUUUUUUUGUGACAUUAAUUUUAGGGCAUGCAACACUCUCUAUUAUUAUAUUAUGUACAAUUAUAUUUCUUAAGUAUCACAUUCUUAAACUUUAUUAAAAGUCGUCAUAUAUUGAUUUCUUUAGAAAGGUUGAGAUCUUGGUUGACUUCUUCAAUUUUUAGAAGGAAAGUAAAUUCGUGAUAAGCUUGAACAGGUACAUAGAUGUUAUAAUUUACUGUAGGUGUGAAACCGAAGAUGACAUUUGAGGUCGACCACACUUCUUAAAGAGGGUAACUAAGAAAUUUACCAUUAUUUGUUUUUUUGAGUUCUCAAAUGUGUUGCAAUCUAAAAUACAUGUUUACAGGGAAAUAAGAGCAGUUAAAACAAUUUGUCUUAGUCAUAACCUUGUAAUGUUGAUAAUUGAAUAUUUAUAUAUUUUAUUGAUUUUUUUUUCUUAAAUUUAAUGGAUUCAUUGAAAGAAAUCAAGAAAAAAAUGGUAUCAUGAAUGGGAUGAACAUUUAUCUACCAUGCGAACAUAAUGGAUAUCUACACGAGGAUUGAAAUUAUCGUAACAAAACAUUACAUUAGUCUGAAAACAGCAUGAUAUUUAGUGUCAAACCGACAUCUAGUAGUUACAUAUGUCUGGUAUCUAUAAAUAUAUACCUAUAUAUCCAUCGGUGAAGGGAACCAAUAAUGAUAGACUCCUAAUUGAUCAACGAUUUAGUAAAGAUCGUAAACAAAGAUAUAUAAAAUCUCGCUAAUAUAGCAAAUUUGUACCUGUUUAGGUGUUAACACUUAUAUGUUGAUGUCUAUUUGAGCCCAAUAUGCAAUUAUUGUAUUUUGUUUUAGUGUUCAUAUUUGCUCGCAUCUUCUGUAACAAAGUUAAAAUUCUAGACUAUAGUUUUAACACAAAUAGUACUUGUUUAGCUUUUUAGUACAACUUACACCUAAAGUUAGUGUGAAGUUUUUCCUUGUAGCCACUCCGCAACACGAGUCCAUGCUUUGUCUCUAUAGCGACCAUGAAGUCGAAAGGAACACCAGACACCUCAAGUAACAAUCUCAUCGACAAACACAUAUGAAAUCUCAGUAAAUUUCCAACUUUUUUACCUAUUUCGGUGGUAACACUUAAUGAUGAUAAAACCAUAUGCAAAUUUCCCCAAACAUCUUCUUUUUCAUUAAGUUUCAUUACUAAAUUCAACCAAUUAAUCUAAAAUUGUGAUUUCCCUCUCCUUCCUCGGUUUUCCCUUUAAAUGAAAGCAUCACUUGUACGAAUAAGAGAUUUAUAAGAAAUGGAUCAAACGCAACUCUACUUGUAUUGAAGAAAGAAAUAUAGGAAGGAAACCUACAAUUUGUUUUUCGAGAUUAUUUAUUCUAAAUUCAUUAUACUUUAUCCAUUAUUAUAUUAUGUACAAUUAUAUUUUUAGCAAUCACAUUCUUAAUGUUAAUUAAAGGUUAUCAUAAAAAGAAAAUGUUGGGAUCUUGAUUGAGCUCUUGAAAUUUGGAAGGGAAAGUAAAUUCCUCAUAGGAUUGAUGUUGUGACUGCAAUUUACUGUAGGUGUGAAAUUGAAGAUGUUGUUUGAGGACGAGGAACCUCUUCAAAGAGGCCACAUAAAAAAUUACCAUUUAAUGGUGAUAACUGAAUAUUUAUAUUUGUUAUAGUUUUUUUCUUAUUUAACGGAUUUAUUGAAAGAAACCAAGAAAAAAAAAUGGUAUCAUGAAUGGGAUGAACAUGUAUCUACCAUGUGAACAUAAUGGAUAUUUACUAGAGAGAUUGAAACUAUGGUAACAAAACAUUAGAUUAGUCUAAAAACAACAUGAUAUUUUGUUUCAAACUGACAUCUAAUAGUUAUGCAUGUCUCAAAUGUAUAAAUACAUACAAGCAUAUAUUAGCUAUUCAACGUUGGCUUCCGGUUCAUUAAGGAUUUAAUACAAAUCAUCGACAAAUAUAUAUGAAAUCUUCUUGAUUUAGCACAUUUUUAUCCAUUUUGGUGUUAAAACUUAUAUGUUGCAGUCUAUUUGAGCCUAAUAUGCAAUUAUUGUAUUUUUAUUAAGUUUUCAUUUGUGCUUGCAUCUUUUGUAACAAAGUUAAAAUUCCAGACCUUAAUUUUUAGAUAAAUACACUAACAGAAAAAUAUCCUUUAAUGACAAGAAUUGCAUGUCAUAGAAGGAUACAUAUGACACGCAAAUGCGUGUCAAUGAAGGGCCUAUCAUGAAGGAAGACGACACGCAUUUAUGUGUCGUAACCUUACGACGCACAUUUACGACAUGCAAACCCGACCCGAUACCUGAAUUUAAUUUGGGUCGGGUAACGGGUAUUUUUUUUAACAUGAAAAACCUGAAUUACCCGACCCAAAUUACCCGAAGCCCGAAAAAAUUACCCGAUCAACACCCCUAGACAAAAUAACCAUGGACUUUAUCCAGGGGUUACUCAAGUUCGAUGGAUAUGAUACCAUUUGGGUUGUGGUUGACCGACUUGGUAAGUAUACUCAUUUUAUUCCCCUCAAGCAUCCUUUCUCAGCAUCCACAGUUGCCAAAAGCUUCAUCAAGGAAAUCGCCCACCUCUACGGUUUUCCUCUAUAUAUAAUCAAUGAUUGAGAUCGUAAUUUUUUGUCACUGUUAAGUGGAGCUGUUUAAAUCACAUAGAGUGCAUCUCAAAAGAAGCACGACCUAUCACACACAAACAGAUGGUUAGAAGUGGUGAACCGACGUAUUUUUUAUGAAGAAACCAAAAAAAUGGGCUCGCUGACUUUUUUGGGCAGAAUUUUGGUAUAAUUCAUCCUUACAUACGGCCACCAAAUGCACCCCGCUUUGAGCCUUUUACGGUAGGAUUCACCCCCAUCAUCCGUUACGAAGGGCAAUAUCCUCGGUGGACGCAAUUGAUCAAUUGCUAUAAGACAUGGAUGCUAUUUUGGAUUGAGUUGUGCAUUUGUUGUGGACCCAACAAAAAAAUGCAAAACCAAGCUUAAAAGAAGACAAGGUAAGUGGAGUAUCAAGAAAGGGACUUGGUUUAGGUGAAAUUGAAACCGUAUCGACAACAAAGCUUGGGACGAAGAAAAUAUGAGAAAUUAGUCGCCCGUUACUAUGGCCCCUAUAGGAUUAGCAAGAGGGUUGGAAAGGUAGCUUACACCCUUGAAUUACCCCCGACAACUCUCAUCCACGCUUGAAAUAAAUAAUUUAUUAAUGUAUUAUGAGGUUACUAUAUUAAUUAUAAAUAGUAUUAUUUAAUUAAUAAUUAAUCAAAAAUUAAUUGGAAUUAAUUUUGGGAUUAAUUUGAUUAAUUAAAAGUAUAGGGAUUAAAUGUGACAAUAUUCAAAAGUUGUGCAUUGAAUAAUUCCAGAACCUUCCCAAAGAGGGGAUGGUUUUGGAGGAGGUUCCUUGGGCUUCUUGGAAGCCUUAGGAAGCCUUAGCGAGCAAAAAAAGGAUAAGGGUUAUCCAAGGAAAUCUGUCUUAUUCUGACUCCUUACUCGCACAUAUAAACCCCUCAUGGGAUUCAUAUUUUCGGCACUCCAUCUCUAAGAGCCUUAGAGCCAAAAUUGAUGCCCCUCUCCUUUCUCCUCUAAAGUCUUCUAUUGGUUUGGGUACAUACCAUUUGAGGCACAAUAUUUCUGGGGCUGGUUUUCUGAAGUUUGUUAAAGAAGGAAUUGUUGAUUAUUUCUUAGGUAUGUAAACCCUAAAACUCUUUAUGAAUUUUGAAAAGAGUAGAUCACUCCUAGGGUUCUUGAUGUUCAAUUGUUUGUUGCAAAUCAAUAGUGAAAACAUAGAUCAAUUAGGUUACUUGUGAACUUAGGGCUAAGUUUUUUCUGCCACAUCUUUUUUUUUUUUGUAACCUAUAAAAGGUAACAAAGAUAAGAUAGCUUCUCCCCCAAAAUUUAAGAGGUAAACUAGAUUGAAAGAUCAAGGAUCUAUGUAACAGCCCGGAAUUUCAGGUAUUGUUAUAUUUGUGAUUUUGGGUGUUUUAAGAGGGGACUCGGCGAGUUGGAGCCCAGACUCGCCGAGUAGGAUCGCGGAUCUGGUCGCAGGUUCGCGACUGGACUCGACGAGUCCGGAUAUGGACUCGGCGAGUCUGCGCUGUUUAGCGAAAACCCUAACCGUUCAGGUUUGGGACGUAUAUGAGGGACCUUAUGGCCGUCAUUGUUCACCCUAGUCCUCUGAGAGAAACCCUAAUUCGAUUGUGAGCAUCUGGAGCAAGGUAGAAGACCAUUGUUGAUUUUGGAAGUGUUGUUUUGCAAGGAAGAGGAGGCUUGGUUAAGGGAACAACAAGGGAAGCCACGUUCUGAGGAUUGGGGACACAGAGAGCACGUUAUUCAGGUAAUAUUUCGAGUUGCAUUCUUCUAUGUUGAUGUGUAUAUGGAUUUAGGGUUUAUUGAACCCUUUUGUGGCUAGAUUGAGUGUUACCUUAGUCCCCCAAACGAUUGGAACCCUGUAUUGGGAUCUUUGGAAGUCCAGAAUGUCCCAUGCCUGAGCAUUUCGUGAAUCAAUGGAGGUUUUGGAUUGGAAUCCUUAUGCCUUAGGUCAAAAUGUAAAUUAUGAGUCAUGGGGUGUAUUAUGAGCACCGAAAUGAGGACCUUACGUGAUGAAUCAGUCUAGGAAGGCCAGACCUAUGAAUGGUCGGAGCAGUUCUGACCUUAGAAAGCAGUUUGAGCGGUUGCAUGGCAUGGACUCGCCGAGUCCGAUGAACAGACUCGGCGAGUAGCUUGAAGAUUAACUGGGACUCGUCGAGUUGUUCUUCAGACUCGGCGAGUUGAGUCGGGGUGGCCCCGCGAUUCUUCCAGGAGAAACUCGUCGAGUCAAGGAGGAUACUCGACGAGUAGAAAGGGAAUCUUAGAGAAUUGGUGAGGACGUCUAGACUCGCCGAGUCGCCCUAGCACUCGCCGAGUCCGGUCAAGUUGACCGUUGACCGUUGACCGGUGUUGACCUAUGUCUGACUUCUUAGGGAUAGUCAAACUUAGAAGAUAAAAGUGUUAAUAAGAGAUGUAUGAUGUUAUAGGGAGAUUGUAGCUCGGCGGAUCGAGUACGAGUGACUUCGGGAUUUGCUAGCUUUCGACAUUCACGAGGUGAGUCUUCUCACUAUACUGUACCCGGAAGGGUUUGACUGUGUGACCGGAAGGUCGGAUAUGAUAUGAGAUAUAUGUGCUAUAUGUGAUAAGUUAAUUGUUAUACGUGCUAUGUAUGUUAUGUGGGCCGGAAGGCAUUAUGUUAUGGGCCGGAAGGCGAUUAUGUUAUGGGCCGGAAGGCGUUGUGUUGUGGACCGGAAGGUCGGCGUGGGUAGGACCGGAAGGUUUACCCAGCAGGGACGGAAGUCCCCUGAGACACAUGGACCGGAAGGUCAGGGCCUGGAAAGGCGUAUGUGCGUAAGUUGUAUAUUGGGGAACUCACUAAGCAUUUAUGCUUACAGUUGUUAUGUAUGUGUUUCAGGUACUAGCGAGGACCGUGGGAAGGCGCCGGCGUGAUCUGUACACACUGAAAGAUGUUUUGUGAUCUUGGGAUUUAGAUGAUUUGUAUUUUGACAUGACACUUGAAAUGUUUAUGCCUUGUUUUGAAUGAAAAUACUAUAAUUUGAAAUGAAAAUUUUGUUUGAAAAUUUACGGUGUUACAAUCUAGCAACAUUUAAAAUAUGCCUAUGUUUUCUAUCCACAACACCAUUCCAUUGUGAAGUGUGAACACAGGAUGUUUGAUGAAGAAUUUCUUUAGUUUCAAACAAAGAUCUCAUUUUAUUAUUUAAAAAUUAUGUCCUAUUAUCAGAUCUUACCGUUUUAAUUUUUACUUCAAAUUGAUUAAAAAGAAUAUUAAAGAAGACACAAAUACAAUCAUAAAUUUCAUCCUUAGACUUUAACACAUAAACCCAAGUAGCCCUUGUUAAGUCAUCCACAAUAGGCAAAAAAAAUAUCUAAAUCCUUCUCACAUAGUAACUCUAUAAGGACUCCAUACAUCACGGUGGAUUAACUAACCAAGUUUAGUAGUGACAUGUUGACUGGUGGGAAAUGACUCCCUAGUUUGUUUGGCUUUGUGACAUAUGUCACGAUGAAGAACAUCAUUCCCAAACUUAAGUUUGUUUAUUGAAGAAAUUAAAGCUUGAUCACAGGGAUGACCAAGCCUAUUAUGUCAGGUAAGUUUAGAGACACAACAAACAGAAAAAUUGGACACUUUAGAAUUGUUACCUAGAGGUACAUUAUCCAUAUAAUAGGGACCUCCAGACUAUCUACCAGUCCCUACCAUAUCCUUGGACUGUAAAUCCUAAAUUUUACAUGUAUGUUCAUUAUGGACAUAUAACAAGUUGACAUUAAAAUCAGGAACAUCGAAGACAUUAAAUAAGGUCAAGGAAUUAGAUACUUUCAAAUAUCCAAUUUUUUCAAUUUUAGUAGAAGUUCUAUUAGGAUGACUAACAAGAAGAUCUAGUUUAGAUACAUCCACAGUAUCAUGAAGAAGAGAUUCAGAGGAAUUAAAAGCCUUAACUAAGCAAGUAUUAUAUUAGCACUAGCAUAUGCUUCCUCAUUAGUUUGUUUAUCAUUAAUAAGUUGCAAAAAUCUAACAUACUAAUCCUUAGUGAGAUGAUGAUAUUCAAAAUCUCUAGAGACACAGGCAAACUAGAAGAACCAGACAUUCAAAAGAGGUAGUAGAAGAAUUCACAGAAUAAUUUCUAUUUGAAUUGUUAUUAGAUUCAUGUCUUGGUUUAAAAUCCUUAGGAUAUACAAUUAUUUUAUACCAAUUUUCAAUUGGAUGUCCUUUAAGACCACAAUUUUUACAUUGACCAACUUGAUUCUUACUCUUAUUAGAAUUAGUGGAAUUAAACUUAUUAUUAAAUCUGCUAGUAAAAGAAGAAGAUUGAGAUUUACACAAAGACUAAGAAGAUUGAGGAGUAGAUAAAGAACCAUUCUUUUGAAGAGACUUUUCCCUAGAUACUAUAGAUAAGGCGGUUUUCACAUUGGGUAAAGGAUCCAUAAGAAGAAUAUGACUCUUAACUUAACUAUAAGACUCAUCAAGACCACUUAGAUUUAUUAUAAGUUUCAAAAAGGUUUUUCCAAAUGUCCUCAGCCAUUAGAUUUAUUAUAAGUUUGAGUGAAUUAAUUUGCUGAUGAAUGUUGAAAACAACAGACCCAUUAGAUUUAUUAUAAGUUUCAAAAAGGUUUUUCCAAAUGUCCUCAGCCACUUCUGAAUAAACAUGACUAGCAUAGACGGAAUCAUAAAUGGGGGAAAGAAGCCAAGAACAUACAACAACAUUAGCCCUUUCCCAUUUUAAUUGUCUAGGUUGUUCAACGUUACCUUUUUUAAGAGUUUCAUCAACAAAUCCUAACUUAUUCCUAGCCUUAAGAGCUCUAGACAUAGACCUUCUCCACAACCUAAAGUUCUCAUUUCCAGUCAACUUUAUUGUAACAAUAGUUGUGACAAUAUUAGUCAACUUUAAUGUAACAAUAGUUAUGACAAUAUUAUCUGAAGGAUGAAUGUAGAGAGGAUUAUCAAAAUUAGUUGAAAUAUCCUUUCCAUUUCCUCCAUGAGUAUAAGUAGGGUCAUCCAUAGAAAUAGAUAAGACACAAACAACAAACACAUACAACUAUGACAACCAAAGUCCAGAAGGUCACCACGGUAUGUUAGGGCCCAAGAUAGUUGUCACAAUCAAAACAAGAACAAACGAUAGCAAGAAGGCAAACAUAUAACAAGAAGAGAUUGCAAUUAAUUGGUGUAUUCAAGACAACCAUAAACUCCUACAACCAAACUCAGAAAAAGAAUAAAAGAGAACAAGAAAACCUCAUAGAGGUCCAGAAGUUACUUUUGAUGUGCAGAGAUGACAAAUCGCCUCUCCUAAGGUUUCAUCCCAAUAGAGUUAUUUCAUAUACAAGGUCGAUAUGUUCUCAACAAUGAGUUAAUCAAAACCUAGAUCCGUUCUCUUAGAGGAUUAAUCAACAUCUAAUAAGAGAUUGAGCGAUUUUUGGAUAUAAAGAAGAUACGACGAGAACACUAGGAUGUGAAGGAUCUGCACCGAUCUGCAAAUCAAAACACAAAAAAAUCAUAGUACCAAAGAACUGGAAACGAAACCAAACUUAACAAGAAGUGAUCUCGUGAAAACCGAUCGACACAAAAGGAUGAUCAACAGAGAUCAACAGCGAAACCCAAGAUCUGACACUACAAGUGUCAAAUCUAUAAGGAAUGGAUAAAUAAGAAGCGAAAACAAGACAAGAACACGAACACAAACUUGAAACGAAACUCUUCGUAGGUCGUUGUAGACUUUAAUCGGAGCAACAAUUAAUCUAAUACCAUCUAAGAAAAGUAAAAACUCAAGAACUUCCCAACAUGAAUAGUUUAUUUAGUUCGUUUGUACAUCAAUACUUACAAAAGAAAUCCUCGCUACAUAACACUCACACUCUAAUGUAUACACAAAAUGAUUUUACUAUAAAGGGAAACGGCAGAACAAACCCUAGAUAAUACAGAAAACCCUAAUCAAGAGUUAGAGAGAAAAGAGAGAGCAAUCUACAAAAUGUAUCUAAUGAUUGAGACGAAGACCAACAAGCAUAUAUACCCGGGUCAUGAAAAUGACUCGAUCGAUGAACCCACAUUUGCAAUAAGAAAUUUACACAACCCCUGCACAAUAACAUCAAUAUAAAAAUAGACCAAACUAACCAGAAAUUAUAUAUAAAAAUGUUAAGUUUGAUAUAUAUAUAUAUAUAUAUAUAUAUANNNNNNNNNNNNNNNNNNNNNNNNNNNNCUACGUAUCCAUCGGUAAAGGGAACCAUCAACAAUGGCCUACCAAUUGAUUAACGAUUUAAUACAGAUCAUUAACAAACAUGUAUGAAAUCUUGCUAAAUUAGCAACUUCUUACCUAUUUCGGUGUUAACACUUAUAUGUUGAAGUGUAUUUGAGCCCAAUAUGCAAUUAUUAUAUUUUGUUUAUGUUUUCAUUUUUGCUUGCAUCUUCCGUAACAAACUUAAAAUUCCAAACUUUAAUUUUAACAUAAAUAGUACUUUUUUAUAUUUUUAGUACAACUUACACCUGAAGUUAUCGUGAAGUCUUUCCUUGUAGCCACUCUGCAACAAGGAGCUCAUGCUUUGUCUCUAUAGCGACAAUGAGGUCAAAAGGAAAGACUCCUCAACUAACAAUCUCGUCAACAAACAUAUAUGAAAUCUCGCUAAAUUAACAACUUUUUACCCAUUUUGGUGUUAUAUUGAUGAUAAAACUAAAUGCAAAUACCCCAAACAUCUUCCUUUUCAUUUAGUUUCAUUACCAAAUUCGUCCAUUUUAUCUAAAUUUUUGGUUUCCCUCUCCCUCCAUGGUUUCCCCUUUAAAUGAAAGCAUCACUUGUACGGAAUAGGAGAUUUAUAAGAAAUGGAUCAAACUCAACUCUAUGUACAUUGAAGAAAGAAAUAUGGGAAGAAGACCUAUAAUCUAUUUUUCGAGAUUAUUUAUUCUUGGUUCAUUACUCUAUCCAGUAUUAUAUUAUGUACAAUUAUAUUUCUUAACAAUCACAUUCUUAACGUUAAUUAAAAGUUGUCAUAUAAAGAAAAAGUUGGGAUCUUGAUUGAGUUCUUGAAAUUUGGCAGGGCAAGUAAAUUCAUCAUAGGCUUGAACAAGUACAUAGAUGUUGUGAAUACAAUUUACUGUAGGUGUGAAAUUGAAGAUGACGUUUGAGGACGAAGACGCUCCUUAAAGAGGGUAACUAAGAAAUUUACUGUUAUCAUCAGUCUUUUUGAGUUUGCAAAUAUGUUACAAUCCCAAAAGGAAUUUUAUAGGGAUAAUUGAAAUAUUUAUAUAUCCGUUAUAGUUUUUUUUUUUUUCUUAAAUUUAACGGAUUUGUUAAAAGAUACCAAGAAAAAAAAUGGUAUCUUGAACGGGAUGAAUAUGUAUCUACCAUGUGAGUGUAAUGGAUAUCUAUAGGGGAGAUUGAAACUAUCGUAACAAAAUAUUAGAUUAGUCUGAAAAAACAACAUGAUAUUUAGUGUCAAACCGACAUUUAAUAGUUAUGCAUGUCUCAAAUCUAUAAAUACGUACAAAUAGAUAUUGGCUAGGGUUCCGAACUGGAGCACCAAUUCAAAAUCAUCAUGGGGGUAAUUCGUUGCCUACUUCUGAUGUUAUGCCAUUUCCAAUGAAAUCGAAUCUCGCCUUCCAGCGAAAGACGAGCGUUGAUCGUUGAUUGACUGAAGCACAAAUAGCAGAAAAGAAAACUCGAGGUCUUUGCUUCAAAUGUUAUGAAAAUGGCAACCAGGUCAUCACUGUAAAACACAAGUCAAUGUGAUUUUUGUUAAUAAAGAGGAGAUGAAACUUUGUGAGGAGCAGAAGCAAGACUUUACACCCAAUGAAGGAGUUACAUUGGAAACUUUAGAAAUUGACCACCCAAUUGAGGUAUCUCUAAACUCUGUAGCAGGGCUCCCGUCCCUACAAACGAUGAAACUGCAAGAAAACAUCGUGAAUCAACUAGUGGUGGCCAUGAUUGAUCUCGAGGCCACCCAUAAUUUUAUUGCUAGAAGUUUGGUAUGGGGUUCGAAUGGGUAAUGGGGACAAUAAAGCAAGGAGGGGAGUAUGUAAGGGGGUGUUAUUGUAAAUAAAACAAAUCGACAUUAUCGAAGAGUUCUUACCCCUCCGAUUCGGAAGAUCCAACAUAAUCAGGGACGAACGGGACCUUAGGUACCACUCAAACCAAUUGGAAGGAUCAGACAAUGGAGUUCGACAUUGGAGGAAGGCGAGUCAAAUUGAAAGGAGACUCGUUUUGAAAGGAGACCCGACUUUGGGCAAGUCCCUGGUAUCCUUAAAAAAACUUGGAGAGAGAAUUACAUCAAAUAUGGGUUAAGGCGGAAGACAUACCCAAUACGACUUUUUGAUAUUACGAGUUCAAGGUGAUUCCCUUUGGCCCUACCAACGCCCCUGCUACUUUCCAAGCCUUAUUCAAUGAAAUAUUUCGGCCAUAUUUGCGGGAGCUCGUCCUUGUUUUCUUUGAUGACAUAUUGGUCUAUGAUGCUAGUAAAGAAAUGCAUCAAAGACAUCUCACAAUGGCGUAAGAAUGGUUACCAUAAAAUCAACCCUAUCUCAAAUUAAAGAAGUGUGAAUUUGGACAAUCAUGUCUAUCAUACCUUCGUCAUGAGAUUUCAAAUAAUGGGGUCUCGACGGAGACCAUCAAGAUUCAAGCCGUGUUAGAUUGGCCCGUACCACGAAACAUCAAGAGCUUAUGAGGUUUUUUUGGGACUAACGGGGUACCAUCAGAUGUUAUGCUAGCAUAGCCACACCUCUCACGGAGCAACUUAAAAAAAUACAAAUUUGGAUGGAACAAGGUUGUCGAAAAAGUCUUCAGCAACCGAAGACAACAUGACAAUCAUGUUGUUUUUAGCAAUGUCGGAGACGGAGAAACCCUUCGUGGUUGAAACCGACACGUCGAGGUACGAACUUGGGGCGGUUCUAAUCCAAUAUAAUAGGUCAAUAGCUUAUUAUAGUUGCACUUUGGGAACCAUAGGCCGAUCAAAACCUAUUUAUGAAAAAGAGUUUAUAGCCAUUGUUAAAGCCGUAUUGAAGUGGAGGCAUUACAUAAUGGGAAGAAGAUUCAUCGUUCGAACGGAUCAACUUAGUCUCAAGUACACGUGUUAUAGGUCACAAUUAUCAAAAAUGGGUGUGUUGAAGCUAAUAGGGUUUACUUUUGAAAUUUAAUAUUGAUCCGGAGCUACUAGGGGUGUUCGUUUGCAUGGAUCGGUUCAAUCCGAUUCAAUCAAGUGAAUCCAAAUUAAUUUCGGUUUUUAAAACAUAGAUCCAAAUAGUCCAAACUAAAUUCAAAUUCAAUCUGAUCCAAUCGAAUUACAAUUCGAUUGGAUCGAUUUUUAUAAUUCGGUUUUCAAAAUUUGGAAUAAUUUUUUUAAAAGCACAUAUAAUUAGAAUACUACCCAACUUUAUAAAAGAAAAAAAAAACAAAUAUCUUAUUUGUGGUUUAAAGUUACGAACAACUACUAAAAAUAUAUUAAAGCUUAAUAUUUUAUAAAUAAAAACUAUUUUUAGAAAAUACAUAUUAAGAUUUUUUAUUAAGUGAAAUUUCUUGAAAAAAAAGUAAAAAAAAUAAUAAAUAAUUAUAGAUAUAUAUUCAAAAUAAAUAAAUAACAAAUUUUUAUUUGGUUUUUUUGGAGUAUUCGGUUCUUAUUUUAUAAACCAAAAUCAAUCUGAAAUCCAAAAUAAUAAUUCGGUUUUGUUGAAACUCAAUCAAAAAAUCUGAAUAUCCGAACCAAAGAGUCUAAUCCAAAUUAUCAAAUUGGAAAAUUCGGUUUUAUCCAAAUAAUCCACAAUUCUCUGAUCAUACGGGCAAGAAAAAGACUUACCAAAUAACAGCGGUAUGGGUUUCUUGGCCAAGAAUGCAAGUCGACAUCAUCGAAUAUAUCAGAAACGUGUCAGAGAAACAAAACCCUCGCAUCGACUCCAAUCGGGUUACUUUAAGCAAUACCUCUUUCGGCCCAAACAUUGGACAAAAUUAGCCCUGUCGAAAAUACUCGAUACUCGAAUUACCCGCUUGAUUUUUUCGGAUAAUCGAGUAACCCGAUUUUUUCAAGUCAGGUAAAGGGUACGUUUGUUGGGUUUCGGGUAUACCCGAAUUAUUUUAAAAUUUCUUUUUUUUCAUAGAGCUUGUACUCUGUAGCAGGUAUUUAAUCACGCUUAAACUAACUAUCAUUAUUGUAAAACAUGAAUCUCUUUUAUUAUGACAAUAUGACACUAGCAAUAUUAAAAGUAAUUGUUUACAUAUAAUCAUGUUCUUUAAAACUUAACAAUUUUCUAGAUUAUAGUUUUUUAUUGCAACUAACAAACUCAUUAUCUUGACGAAACUUCAGAACAUGGCAAAAAUUAUGGCUACAAUUAUUUUAAACAUUUUAAACUUUUAAAUUAAAAUCUUUAAGUAUUUGUUUUUUAACAUUUUAUUAGAUUAGAUUAAGUUGUUAAAAAAUUACUUGAUAUCUCAGGUAAUAUUGACUAAAAAAUCUCAAUAUUCAAAGCUUGAGUAACUUCAUUUAUGGCUCGUUUAUUUAUAUAAACAAGACUAGUAAAGCACGACAUAUUUAUUUCAUUAAAUUUAUUUUCAGGUGAAAUUCAAAAAAAAACAUUAUAUAUUUCGGAUAAUACCCGAAUUUAAUUUGGGUCAGGUUACGAGUAUUUUUUAACAUGAAAAACCUGAAUUACCCGACCCAAAUUACCCGAAACCCGAAAAAAUUACCCGAUCAACACCCCUAGACAAAAUAACCAUGGACUUUAUCAAGGGGUUACUCAAGUUCGAUGGAUAGGAUACCAUUUGGGUUGUGGUUGACCAACUUGGUAAGUAUACUCAUUUUAGUCUGGAGUUGCCAACAGCUUCAUCAAGGAAAUCGCCCGCCUCUACGGUUUUCCUCUAUAUAUAAUCAAUGAUUGAGAUCGUAAUUUUUUGUCACUUUUAAGUGGAGCUGUUUAAAUCACAUAGAGUGCAUCUCAAAAGAAGCACGACCUAUCACACACAAACAGAUGGUUAGAAGUGGUGAACCGACGUAUUUUUUAUGAAGAAACCAAAAAAUGGGCUCGCUGACUUUUUUGGGCAGAAUUUUGGUAUAAUUCAUCCUUACAUACGGCCACCAAAUGCACCCCGCUUUGAGCCUUUUACGGUAGGAUUCACCCCCAUCAUCCUUUACGAAGGGCAAUAUCCUCGGUGGACGCAAUUGAUCAAUUGCUAUAAGACAUGGAUGCUAUUUUGGAUUGAGUUGUGCAUUUGUUGUGGACCCAACAAAAAAUGCAAAACCAAGCUUAAAAGAAGACAAGGGAAGUAGAGUAUCAAGAAAGGGACUUUGUUUAGGUGAAAUUGAAACCGUAUCGACAACAAAGCUUGGGACGAAGAAAAUAUGAGAAAUUAGCCGCCCGUUACUACGGCCCCUAUAGGAUUAGCAAGAGGGUUGGAAAGGUAGCUUACACCCUUGAAUUACCCCCGACAACUCUCAUCCACCCUACAUUUCACGUGUCACAAUUGCAAACCGCAUAUAGGUCCCAGUAAACCCACGUAUCUUCCUCCUCAACUAAAUAUAGACCUUGAAUUACUUGUCCAACGAACGGCUCUACAAGGAGUAAGACCAAAGAAUGGGAGCAACUUCGGUGAAAAAGAAGUAUCGAUGCGUUGGCAAGGACUAACAGAAGCUGAUGGAAAGAAUGAAAUUGCAAUUCCCGACUUUUCACCUUGAGGAAAAGGUGAAAGUUUGGGUCGCCGGUAAUGAUAAACCCCCCGUUAUUCAUGUCUACAAGAGGAAGUUUGGAAGGCCCAAGAAAGACCCAACAAAGUAAUUAUUUCCGAGCCCAUCUCUCUUUUUGCUGAUUGGACCAGAUUGCCCCUAUGAAUAACUUGGUUUGUCGUGUGUGAUUGGUAAAAACCCUUACGGUUGUGCUCCUCCCAUUUUUAGGUGUGUAGCAGGAAACACACUUUUUGGUAUGGUCUGCUGAGUUGGCAUAAAAGUUGAGUAUCCAAAGGAUUGAAAUGAUUAAUCUUUAAGCUGCCUUUUGUGUUCAUUCUACUAUUCCAUUACUUUGAGAUUGACCGAGUGUAAGCAAGUCCAUAUCAACAAGUUGUAAUCUUUCUUAUGCUUUCAUAUAAUUGCAAUUUGCUCUAUUUAUUAUCAUUCAUGCUAGAUAUGACUAUCAUAAUUAUAAUGCACUCAGGCAUGGAAUGUGUAUGGGGUUCUAAAAUUCUUGCAAGCAUUGAUCGAGAAAUCUUCAAUCAUUCAGAUAUUAGAGCAGGAAAAAGGAGUUGAACAGCUUACAAGUUACAACUACAGAUGGAUAUGAUGAUAAUGGUGGAAGUAGUGUCCUAAAAGUAGUACGGGGUUACUUCAACAUGGUUGAGUUGAAUUCUGAUUUCCCAAAAUUUCCUGAAGUGAUGCUCAAACCUUUUACUGAGUGGUACAUUAGAGAAGCUAGUGUGAUGAUUCUUGAAAGAAACCUUGCACAUGUAGUAUUUUGAUUAUCAAACAUUGAAAUGUGAGUUAUAGAAUUGAAAGCUUCAUAGUAUUUCACCUGAAUCUAGCAAAGGUUAUCACAUAAAUGAUCAUAACAAACAAAAGCCCGAUGCUAAAUCAUAAUAAUAGAAGAAUAAGGCACAAACUACUGAUGCAUACCUUUUUUUCUGAGCAGAUGCACAUGCAGCAAAAGAUGGUCAAAAUAUGAUCUUUCUGGCCCAUUCUUGUAGACAAAAUAAGAGGACUUCUCCAUUGCACAACUUUUUUUUUCAAAUACAACAUCAUAUUCAACUUUUGUCCCUGGUCAUAUUCCAUUCAACAUCAGAAUCAUCACUAGGUUCAGAGAUUCCUGUAAAGAUAUCAUCAGUAAUAUCAUCUAUGUAGAUUCGUGGCCCCAAAUCCUUCUUCACAAAAGUAUUCUUCUUUGGGGCUUCCCUACUAUUAAAAUGGUUCUGAACAUUACUUGAGGCGUCAUGGAGAGGUGAAAAAGGUGUCCACUUUGAGUUCGUUCUAGCUGUUUUUGGCAGAUGUGAGAUUGAAACCCCUAAAGGGUAGUAUCCCCAACAAUAGAAAUAGUCUUCCUGGCCUUCUGCCAUUAAUGGUGGGGAGGAAAUACCUACAGCCUGAAAUGCCCUUUUACAGUUGUCACAACGGAUGGUGCACUCUGCAUAGAUCCUUUGAUACUCAUACAUGUAGAAACAGUAAGGACAUGCAGUCCAAAAUGUAGGCGACUCAUCCAUAUUCACAGCUUCUGUUUCUGUUUCCUUCUUCUUUACACCAUUGUCACUAUUAACCUGAUUAGGAGAGUGAACAGGACCAGCAUUUUGUUCUACCCAUGCUUCUUGUUGUUGGGGCUGCAAUGGAGGUUGCUGUUUCUGGUGUGGCUGCUGUGGCUGUGACAGAGAUGGUGCUUGUGGCCAAGAUAACGGAGGUUGUGGUGGUGCUGCAGGAGGCGGAGUUAUGGAUUGCAUAGAUGGCUGCGGCUGAGGAGAUUGUGGUGGAUUUUGUUGAUACGGUGUAGACAUGACUUCUAAAGGUUCAACCUGUGGCUGAAACAAUUGCUCCUGCUCAUGAUGCUGAAACAAUUGCUCAUCCUCCUCGUGAACAGGUGCAGAUUGAUUUCGUGACAGAAAAUUAUGCUGCUGCGAUUCCUGCUGUUGAUGAGUGCGUUGUACCCUAGUUUGAAACGUCUGCUCUUGCUCCGGCGAUUUCUGCUGAUGAUCCGACCCCAUAUAGUCAAUCGAAAAAAAAUUGUGUUGUUCUUGCUGCUGCUGCUGCUGUUCCUCGAGGUUAAACCCUAUAGUGUUCAUCUGCAGUUGCGGCGGAAAAUCAAGCUCCGAAUCAUACAUAGAUUUCCUCAUAGGGUUCGACAACACGGACCAAGCUUCGUUAACAAUCUGAAACGCUUGAUCGGAGAAAGGGAACCGAUUUUGAUGAGGGUUGAGGAUGAAGGCGAGCCGUUGGUACUGGGAGGCGAUGUGGUCCGUGUCCUGAACAAACCGGACCAGUUGAAGGAUCCCGUAAAAAUCCGGCUGCUGCACGCCAUUAUUUCCGACGACCUGUUUCUCGGCAGCGAUGAGCGUAUCAACAACUGCUAGGAUCUGAUCAGCAGCUUCAAGUCUGGGGUCAGACUCUCGUGCUCGGAUCGCAAAUGUCUUGGAGCCGACUAGGUCGUGGCUCAUAAGCAGUUUCUCGGCGAUACCGAGCCACCGUUGCGCCUCCGCCCGUGCUAUGAAGAUAUGGGGAUCCAUAGUUUCUACCCGGAUCAAAGUGCUUGUCUAUCUAAAAAUCAAACCACACUCUGAAAGUGCUCAUUUAGGCCGUUGGUGGGGGGUAAGACAAAAGUUGUAAAGGGUGGCCUCAAAUGGGUGGGGGUAGCAUCUUUUUAUAGAGAUCUUUUUAUAGAAGAAGAUGUGAUGGUUUGAUUAAAACAAAAUGUUAAGUACGAACGAUUAAAUAAAAAAUUUAUUUGAAUUUGAAAUUGAAAUAAGUGAAAAUUAUCAGAAAAAAAAACAUGUAAAAAAUAAAUAAAUUAAAAUUAUGUGUUUAGUGUGUACUAAACGGGUUAAUUAUAAAAAAAUGUUAAACUUAAAGGUUUAAACUGUAAAUUUAUUUGAAAUUGAAUUUGAAAUUUAAAAUUUGAAAUUAAUAGUCAUUAUGGUAGGUUUAAUUUAUGGAAACUAAAUUAAUGAUAUAUUGAAAAUGAAAAUUAAAGUAAUGACAAGUGGAAAAUAAAUAUAUCUCAAAUUAUGACAAAAUGAUAUGUGGCUAAUUUUAUGAGAGAAUGACAUGUGGCAAAGUCAUUUUCAUUUAUUAUGGUAGAUAUGAUAUAUGAUAUUUCAUUUAAGAAAUUGGUUGCAAUUAUUAUAUUAUGAAAUUUUCAUAAAAGUACUUAAAUUUAAUAGACUAAAUUACUGAAAUGGUCCCUAUGGUUUGGUCAAAAUUACACGUUUGGUCCCUAACUUUUUUUUUGCACUCGGAUCGUCCCUGUGGUUUGAUUUUGUUGCGUUUUUCGUCCUUAUGGUUUGGUCAAAAUUGCACGUUUUGGUCCCUAACUUUAUGUAUGUAAGGGACGAAAAACGCAACAAAACCAAACCACAGAGACGAUCCGAGUGCAAAAAAAAGUUAGGGACCAAACGUGUAAUUUUGACCAAACCAUAGGGACCAUUUCAGUAAUUUACUCAAUUUAAUAAAAGUUAAUGUUUAAGUUUUACUUUUUUAUUAAUAUAAAAACUCAAGAAAUCAGUUAAUUUUUUCAUUUUAGUCGAUUAUGACAUUUUCAACAUGUUGAUUGCGGAGGUGGAUUGUCAAGCUUUGGGGAGUGGCUCGCGCUACCCAGAUCGCCAAGGCACACUAGAGGAACUAAACACCGCCCUCUGGCUUGGCUUGUGCAAGGGAGCUCAUCGGAAUGAACUCGUCAGGCCGAGAGAGAGAGAGAGAGAGAGAGAGAGAGCUUUUGUUUGGUGGUUGGCAUUUGACUAGGAAUAAACACAAUUUUGACCAACUUUAUUAUUAUUAAUAAUAAUAAUAAUAAUAAUAAUAAUAAUAAUAAUAAUCAACAAUUUUGUAUUAGAAAAAAAAAAAAGAGCCGUUGUUUUUUCAAAAUUUCAAAUUUUGAGCAUCUCUUCCAACCACUAUAAAUGGACACUUAAACCUCAACAUUUCACCACACACAAUACCAUUCUUUUCUGUCAAAAAAACUUCUCAAUUUACCAAAAUCAAUGUCUUGACCUAGCCAAACCAAAACGCCAAGGAGAAACAAUAAAUAAAUAAUCAACCCUAACAACACAUCUUCACCAAAUUUUUCAUCACCGACUUGUUAUCAACAUUCACUCAAUCAAACCAUCCACUACCCGCUAGUUAUUAUUAUUCGAUUAUCGCUUCACGGUUGUAUCCAUUCCAUUCAUACUCUUCUCGAUUCCAAUCUCAACCCAUACCAUUUUUCCAAUCCCAGCCCCAAACAAAUUUUCAAUCCCAACCCUUACCCGAUCCAAAUCUAGAACUUGAUAUGUUUGAUUCGGUACAAAAAAAAAAACCCAAUUCGUUUCCCAACCCUUACCCCACACAAAUUUCCAAUCUGAACCCCACCGCCUAGUCGAUGAGUCUACCGAUUGUCUCGAUGGAUUGUCUCGAUGGAGGAGAUUUUCAACAUGUUCAAGAAACCGAAGUUGACCCAAAGGAAAAAUAAAUAAAUAAAUAAAUAAAAACAAGGACAAAAUGCCAAGGAUAGACAGAUAAAGAAAAGAAGGCAUUGGCACAAGCAUGACUAGAUGUAAGGGAGGAUCCCGCGACGGGAGACUACCAAAGUGGCCCAACUUUUAAAUUUAGAGUUUGGAAAGGGUUUUGUACCCAAAUGAAUAAGGAGGACCGCUCCACUAGUCAAAAUAUACUCGAAAUAGAGAACCCCGAAUAGAAAUUCAAUGGAGUUCAGUGUCAUCUACAUGAACGCGACUCGCAACUUGCAAAGCGGUGCAAAUGAGGUGAUGUCAUAGCAAAAUCUCGUCACAUUUAUUAGGUUAAAGUUGGUAUAGCUUUUGCAAAUGAGGAUUUUUGGGAAGUUGUGAAGAACAAACCAAAUCGUUUGCUCUAAAAAGUGUUGAUGAUUUUAUGGGUAUGUCCAAACAAAUCAAAACUUCCGAGUCAACCCAUAGUCAAUCUUCUGAUACACAUAUUGAGAUUGACCUCAACAACGACGAUCCAUAUGAAGUGCCAACUCGUCCUAUGGGACGAGAUAAAUCCAAAAGGAAGUUAAAAGGUGCUCAAAAUUCAUCGAAUGAAGUGGAGGAGAUGAGCAACGAGAUCCAUGGGUUGGACAGUAUGUAACAUCCCAACCGUCAUGUAUCAUUAUCACUCCAUUUAAAUUUUAUGUUCUAAAGUCUACUCGACAAGUUGACGCUGUGACUCGUCGAGUAACAGUGGGACGGGACACGUUAAUUAAUGAGUGACUCACCGAGUCGGCAUGGGGGACUCGACGAGUAGGAGCUGGCAGUGGAAAACCUAAUUUUCAGGGUUUUUGCACCAUAUAUAUUGGACCAUUAGCGCCUCCCACUGCCCUCCAUCACCCCUUGAGACCCAUAAACCCUAAUUUCCAUGAGUGAGAGCAUGGAGAGUGUCUUGGGGCUUUGAGAAGUGACUUUUGGGAAGGAAAUUUGUAGAUCAAGAGGCUAGCAUCAAGACUUCUAUGUUGAUCCAGAUUCUACUUCAGUGUGGGCGCAUUUUGGAGGUAACCAGCUGUUACCUUAACCUCUUUUCUUCUAGAAUCAUUCAUAUGUGGAAUCUAGGGGUUUCUUUAGUUAUUCAUGAAGGGAUUUUUGGUAUAGGAGCUAGAUCUGAAGUUGAAACUUCAGAUCUGAACCUCUUUUGAGUCCUAAGUCCAUAAAGUUUCCAGCUCUUGCAAGGAUGAGACUCUCCCAAGGUGUAAAGCUCCAUUAGAAGCUUAGAUUGGUCAUUUAGAGCCUUUAGGGCCUUGCAUGUGCGUAAAUUUUGCAACUUUACGUGAUAAACAUGCCUUAGAAGCUUGGAUCUGUAAUCUGGAACCUUGGCAUGGCUUAAAAAGUGUCUGCAUGGAUGAAGGUCUGCAAAGGACUCAGCGAGUUACAUAGUCAACUCGGCGAGUCAUAUGACGAUGGUCAUGAACUCGCCGAGUUGAUGAACAAACUCGACGAGUCCGUUGAAUAUUGCCUUGAACUCGUCGAGUCGUUCGAAGACUCGGCGAGUCGGCUAGGUUUUCUCCCAAAUUCUUGGACACGUAUGAACUCGGCGAGUUAAAGGGGAACUCGACGAGCCAAUCAAGGAUUUCACGACUUCUCGAGUUUAGGAAGGACCCGACGAGUCGGUGAACUACACUCGACGAGUCGAGUCAACAUGGACUGUUGACUUUAACUGUGGACUUUGACUUUGACCAAGAGUUGACCAGUUGACUUAUGAGGGUAUUCUGGUAAUUUGGAGAUUUAUGAAAAAGGGUUUUAUGGUAACUAUAGGUGGUGGAGUUCGUGUUGGCAAUCUGGAAGUUGAGCUUUCUAGUUUCAGACGUCAUUAGCGAGGUGAGUUUUCCUCACUAUACUCAAGGGUCUAAGGUACCAAGGCCGACCCUUUGAUUGUUAUAUGGUUAUGUUAUGCUAGUAUGAUUUGUUAGAUUGGUAUCCUAGAGGGUAGGAUAAUAUUGUAUGAUGUGUGGUAUGAUCUGUUAGAUCAAGUAUUGUCUAUAGACUGUAUGUGAUUACCUGUUAUAUGUGCACGUGUGUGUUUAGCGGUUGAGGCUUAUCUGCUCUGUGCGAAGGCCAAUAGACCUGGGCAUUCCAACCUGUAGGUCGUGGGCCGUGAGCAUUCCAUCCCGAGGAUGAUUGGACUCAUAGUGUGUGCGUAUUCCAACCUGUUGGUUAUGGGCUUGUGGUAUUCCAUCCCGAGGAUGAUUGGACCCAUAGUGCGUUGGCAUUCCAAUCGGAUGGUUGAGGGCCUAGGUUAUUCCAACCUGAUGGUUGACCGGACCCAUAGUAUAUUGUUUAUGAUUAUAUGUGUAUGGAUGUGGGUAUGGGUAUUUUGGGAGGACUCACUAAGCUCUCGGGAUUACAGUUUCAAGUUUAUUGUUUCAGGUACAUCAGGGGAUCGCGGUAAGGCGAAGGCAUGAUCGUACAGCUCCUCAUGUUUUGUCUAUGUUUCUGGGAAAAACUCUGAUAUUAUACAUUUUGAAAACAAAGUUGUAAUGAUUUUUAAUGGUUUGAAAUGUUUUUAAAAGUUUAAAUUAGUUUGAAUUUUGGGUGUUACACAGUAAGCUCGAAAAAUAUUUUGAACUGGGAAAGAAAAGAGAAAGCCACUGUGUGCUAAAGCUUUUUUUCAAAAAUGAAGAAAAAUUGUCUGAAAAGGAUCAUUGGAUUGUUGCAAAUGUAAAGGCGGAGAUUGCAAAAUAAUAUAAUUGGGAUAAGUAGUAUGAUUUAUGUCUUUAAUCUAAAUUUAAAUUAUGUUUUAGUAUUGAGUCGUGUUUUAAUUUUUAGGUAUUAAGUCAUGCUUUUUAGAUAUUAAGUCAUGUUUUUAGGUAUUAAGUCGUGUUUUUAGGUAUUAAAUUGUGUUUUAAUUUAUGAAGUCAUCUUUUAAUUUUUAUUCUAUUGUAACCUUUUUAUUUAAUAUUAAAUGUUUGUUUUUUUAUAAAAACAUAAUGUUACAUCCUCUAAUUUUCAGAACCAAAAAGAACUCUUUUUACGCUUUAAAAAUCAUAAUAAUUUAUUUAUGGGAAAUCUCAGUAUUUUAAAAACUUUUUUCAGUACAAUUAUUGUCUCAAAUAAAAUCCUAAGGAUGUCAUAAAUCGAUACAUUACAUAUGUUACAGCGUAAAGACCCAAUGGUCCUGAACAAUAUUGCAGGUCCUUUAUUCAAUCAUGCAGUAUCCUAUUUAAGUCUUCAGCAGUCUAAACAUCGCUACCUAUGAUGCAUAUAUAAUGAGUGGGUAGCCUUGGAUGGAUUUCUAUGGUUCUAGAGGAUCUAGAAUAUCCAAAAUUAUCCUUAGAGGAUAAUUACGAAACCAGAUAAAUACCAAAAGUAAGAUAAUGUUAUUUUAUUGUUUUGGGAGUUAUCUAGGGUUUUUCGGUAAAUUAUAUAAAGACCCUUAAGCCUCAUAUUUUCGUCCAAGAAUUCUUAGAGAAGCUAGGGCCAAAAUUCUACCUCUCUCCUCUCUCUCUUCAAGCUCCUUGGUCGCUAGGGUUUGGGUGUGAACCAUUAGAGGCACGAAAUUUUUGGUUCUUUGUAACACCCCGAAUUCAGAAAACCAAGAAAGGAAGGGAAAACCCUAAGUCAAGUAGUCUACUCAUCGAGUCCAAGGAAGAAGUCGACGAGUGGGAGCGAGUUCCGUGUCGCGAAUUAAGUGGCCAACUCGACGAGUCGGGGGACUGACUCGGCGAGUCUAGUCUGGUUGGGAAACCCUAAUUUCGGGACUUGGUGCCCUAUUUAAGCAUCUCAUUCCCAUUUCCUCAGCCUCCUGAAUGCUCUCUCAAGACCAGAACGAAACCCUAGAGCCUCCCUUGAGUUUGUGAGUCAUUUUGUGAGAUUUUGAGCAUUCUUGAAGCUUGGAAGAACAAGAAGAAGGUUGGAGGUUCAAGAAGGAAGGAGUAGAUCCAGAAGAUACACCCCAUUUGCUGCACUUAAUGGUAAUCAAGUCUUCAUCUUGACUUCUAGUUUGUUUGAUCUCUUUAUAGCCCUUUUUAUGAAGUUUUUGGACCAAGAAUGAUUACUUGUGGGAUUUGGACGUCCCAAGCAUAGAUCCUUUCAGAUCUGAGAGCAUUUAGAGUGGUUAAGGCAUAAAGGUGGAAGCUUUAUGCCAUUAUAACUCCCCAUGAAAAGUUAGGCAAGGCCUUAGAUCAGAGUACAGUUAAAGUAUGUCUAUGUAUGUUAUUUGAUUGUAUGUAUGCAUGUAGCGGGCGAGGCCCGGAGACAAGAGGGGCCUAAAGGAGACAGAUCUGUAUACCGAGCGGGGCUCGAUGCCAGGUGGGACUUGAUGUCAGGCGGGGCUUGAUGCUGGGCGGGGCCUAGUACGUGGUUAUAUGUAUGUAGUUAUGUGUAUGUGGUAUGUGGUAGGUUGGGGAAAUCACUAAGCUUCGUGCUUACAGUUUUCAGUUUUAGUUUCAGGUACUUUCGGUAGCGGAGGGAGGAGCUCAAGGUGAUCACAUGGCACACACCAUUAUUUGUUUAGCCUGGGAUGUUUUACUCUGGUAUAAAAAGAAUAUGUUUUGUGAUUAUACUUUGAUUGGAUAUAACAGUUUUGCUUAUAAAUGAAAUGUUUUAUAAUUAUGGAUUUUAUUAAUGUUUUAAAAAGAAAUUUUUGGUCAUGAUUUUUGGGAUGUUACAAGUUGGUAUCAGAUCCUUGGUUUGAGGGAUUCAGAUACACUCUCGGGUGUGUCUGAACUCAAACUGAGGACGUGGUAUGAAAGUUUUCAAAAGGAAAUCAUUUUUAUAAAAGAACUUUGAAAAAGGGAAAAGAAUUUUGAAAAAGAGAAAAUGACUUGGAAAAGAGAAAAGAAUUUGAAAAGACAAAAGAACUUUCAGAAAGAGAAAAGGGUGUGGUACAUGUAAUUAGCCGAGCUCAAGUAAGUACCCCAAAGUACCCAUACAAGUUUGAUAUGAUAUGUUAUGAUAUGCUUAUGAUAUUUGCAUGCUAGAUUAAGAUUAAGGAUCUAGGGAGGAUGCCUUAUGUGCCUGCUAUAUGUGUUUCAGCUUUAUGAGAACUGCAUGCUAGUACAGAUUAGUCAGGAUGAUAGCCUGCGUAGUAUAUGCUUGAUUAUGUGUACUCGACAUGCGAAUGUUGCUUGCUUGGUGCUUUUAGGAGUUCUAGUUUUCUUUCACUAACUAGUAAACGAAUAUGUUAAGUUACAUAUUGCAAGGACUAAAUAAUUUCAGAAGGUUAGGUCUAGCUCUGUUUUCACAGCUCUCAUCUGAGUCCAACUGUUGUAGGGCAGGAUCUCUCAUUCGAAGAAUUAUCUGGUCUGAGUAAUAUGUAAUAGUAUUCACGAGCUAGUUAGGGGAAGAAAGCAGGUACUUCUUAUGCAGCUGAUGGCGGAGAGUGGGAUGGUGAUUACCCUAGGGUAAGCCUAGGAUGAGAGUAGCAGAGAGCAGUAGCAGUAGAAGGGACUUGGUGGAGUCGAGGCAGCUCUUGAGGAAAGUACGGAUAGAUGUGGAAGGUAGUAUGGGCAUGUACUACUAGAAGCAGAGGAUCCGUACUCGAUUCAAGAGGGGCUAAGAUAAAACCAUGGAACUUGUAGUGCGUGUGUGACCCCUCGUUGGUGAUGAGUAUUCGGAUGGUGGUUAUGAUAUAUUUUCAGCAUGGUGACGUUGUGUGAGAGACCAGUGGGCGGAUCAGGCGACAGAGAGGGAUCAGGCUCGGGUUCGGGAGUCGACCAGCUCGAGGAGCGGAUGAGGGAGUUUAUAUCAGCUGAGAUUGCGCGCAAUGUCUAGACCAGAAUCCUGUGAUCUUCGGUACGGUCAAGGAGGGGAUACAGGAGAUUUUGGAUGAGAGGCUAGGAGUCUUCCGCGCUGAGGUGAUGGAUUUGGUGGGAGUGCGUACCUUGACAUUCCGAGAGUUCAGGGCUUGUGGGGCUCCCGAUUACCAUGGGGCUCGGGACCCCAUCGCUAGCAGCAUGUGGUUGGCCGAUGUUGUCAACGCUUUCCGUUUGAGCCGAUGUCCUAAGGGGGACAAGGUCCGAUUGGCCUCCUGCCUUCUGAAGGACAGAUCACGGAAUUGGUGGGAGGAGGUUGGCCAUGCCAUUGGGGAUGAUGCCACGUUGGACGUGAUGACAUGGAGUGAUUUCUCAACCAGUUUCAGGGCCGAGUUUGCACCAGUGAUUGAGGUGCAUCAACUAGCACGAGAGUUUCAGGAUUUACGCCAGACGACCGAGACUGUGGCGGAGAUCAUCGCCAAGUUCAGGGAGAGGGCUCUUCUUGUUCUGCAGUAUGUGGCGGACGAGGAAAUGAAGAAGGCCCGAUAUCACGAGAUGCUGAGGAAUGAAAUAAGGCAGUUUGUGAGCAGGUCCAGCUGCAAGACGCUGUAGGAUAUCAUUGCUCGAGCCAGGGAGAGGGAGAUCGACUUGGAGCAUAUUGGGAAGAGGAAGGCUGAGACUGAGCAGACGAUGGGGGGUUUCGGGCAAGAGGCCCAAGGGGUCAGAUUUGAGAUCGAGGGAUUAUCAGGGAUGCAGUCGUUAUGGCAAGUGUGGCAGGACGCACGAGGGUGCGUGCAGGAGUGGUACUGGUGGUGAUUCUGGCUGCUUCAAGUGCGGCCGGACUGGUCAUUUCAGCAGGGAUUGUGCUGUUGCCACCACCCAGGGAUCAGACCUGAUAUGUUUCCAUUGCAGUCAGAGGGGCCACAAGAAGGCCCAGUGUCCGAGUUUGCUUCUAGUAGGACGGGUGAUGGCACCGGCCCCUACGACCUUGAGGAUCACUGAUGGCCGUCAGGGCCGAGCGGAGGCGCCUGCGGUGAGGAGCAGGGCUUUUCAGUUAUCUAUAGUGGAGCCGCGAGCAGCACCGUAUGUUGUAGGUGCAUAUCUUUUUCUUUCCUGUCAACUUUUAUUCAUGAUUAUAUUGUUAUGGUAUUGCAUCAAUGUUAGUAAGUAUACAUUGGAGUAUUGUAUUACCUACUUUCGAUUAAGUCAUAUGUCAUCUGCAUACCUUGGAUGAUAGAGUAUUAGUUCGAAGAUGUUUCUAUUAGAGCGGGUUCUCAGGACGCAGUUGUUGUAGCAAGGAUGAUUAGAACUCAGGAAGUGUUCUAUAAUCUUCAAGAGCGGUUCGGAUUUAAUACCAGUGAGUUUUGGAUCACUAGUAGUAGUAAGCAUUGGAUUACUAGCAGAUUGGUCAUGGGAUGAUAGGAACGAUUGGGACUCCUUUCCAAGCAAGUGAACUGUAAAGUGUUAGUUGAACCAAAGUGGGGGAGAGAGUUUCCCAGAAUUCAGGAGCAGAAGGGUGCGUGGAUUUAGGAUGAGUUGCAUUCUCAUCAGGAAGAAAGACAGCCCAAGUGGAUGUGUGAGUUAAGGAGUGCGUAAGUUGGGAGUUUAGGAAACUUCGCAACGUUGAAUUCGCGUUUUCGCAAUUGAAGAUGUCUUGUCACACCCCCGAACCAGACGGCGGAAACGUCUGAGGGUUUGUGUGACUUAAAUUGAAAUAUCAUCACAAUGAAUAUUCAUGAAACAUAACAUAAACAUCACCAUGCAUUAAUACAUUACAACUGACCUUGUUCACAUCAAGUACAUUGUUUACAUGACAUAGUUCCAAAACAUGAAUCGUCUGAUGUUUAACAUUACACAAAAGAAAUUUCCUGAAACACACUUGGAGGUUCUUCAGUCUAACGAUUUCCUGAGAAUACAAGUUAUUUUGAAAACGUCAACAUAUAUAAUGUUGGUGAGUUCAUAAGCAUGUUUGAUAUAAACUAGUUUGUAUUGAUUGUAAAACCCAAAAAAAUCCGAUAUUUUCUGUACAAAAACUCUUUGCGAAAAAAGAUGUGAUGAUCCCAUAAGUGCAAAUGUAUGUGAUUUCGAAACAUGUAAAAGUGAUUGUUGUUCAAAAUUUGUAACGACCCAAUUUUCAAGACUAAAAAAUUUUCUUUUAAAACAUUACUAAACCACAUUUAUAAAAACUGUAUCAUAAGUCAUAACAUAAUUUCAUAGUAUUAAUUUCGAACAUAACUUAUUAUCAGAGUAAAACAUCCCAGGCUAACUGACUAUGGUAUGUGCACUGCAACCUCUCCGAGCUCCUCCUUUGAAAAUUGAGUACUUGAAACCAAAAACUGAAACCGUAAGCACGAAGCUUAGUGAUCUCCCCCAAACUACCACAUACCAUGCAAACAUAUAAAGCACAUACUGGGCCUUGCCCACUGCAUCGGACCGGAGUCCGGAACUGACCAGGGCCUUGCCCUCUACAUCGGACCGAAGUCCGGAACUGACUAGGACCUUGUCCCGUGCAUCGGACCAAAUUCCGGAACUACUGCAUCGGACCGAAGUCUGGAUUUGUCUAGGACCUUGUCCCCUGCAUCGGACCGAAGUCUGGAACUAACUGCAUCGGACCGAAGUCCGGAACUGAUUGAACAUAGCAUGGCAUAAACACAUCAACUAGCAUGAACACAUAUACUGCAUACUGCAUCGGGUCGUAGCCCGAAACACAUAACACAUAAAUCAUGUCGGAGCCACAAAGGCAUCAAACAUACUAAAUACUACAUCGGAUCGAAGUCCGAAAACUACUACUACUAAACGGGCCGACAUUGUGGCCUUAGACCCGUUCCUACUGGAAGGAAACUCACCUGCACUGCUGGAGUUUUUGCUGAUACCCUUCUGACUGCUAUCAGACACUCUCGAACUGCUGCUCCAAAAACUCCCCGAUCUACUAAUACCAAAUAUAACACUUAGUCUAACUGUCCUCCGAAAGUUAACUAAGUCCACUCUGCUCAAAGUCAAAGUCCUGGUCAAAGUCAACCUUCCAGGUCAACCCUACUCGUCGAGUCUGCCUACUGACUUGCCGAGUUCAUACGCUUAGAAUCCUUUCAUUCACGACUCGACUCGCCGAGUCAGCCCCUUGACUCGCCGAGUCUAUCGAUUUUCGAGUCCUGACCUGACCAACUCAUUGAGUCCCCACUCAACUCACUGAUCCGAGUCUUAACUCGAAGGGUUUGGGGUUUCGCGACUUGACUCGCCGAGUCCAAGGAAAUCUUCAACAGACUCGCCGAGUUGUUCAUCCAACUCGUCGAGUCCACUCGAAGGACUCAUCGGGUCUAUUCAAUCCUUCAUAUAUUCAGAGGCUUUUGAGUCAUGCAUGGACUCCAAAUUGUAGAUCCACUCUUCUAAAGUCUAUUCCUUACGUAAAGUGGCAAACUUUACGUGUAGCUAAGGAGAUCUAGGCUCAAAACACUAUAAACUAGGGUUUAAGACAAAAGGGGCUUAACAAUCAACCCAUAGACUGAUGCUUUAUGAUUCUCUAGGCCAAGAUACACUUAGAUCUGAAGUAGCAACUUCAGAUCUGGGCUUCUAACUCGAAAUGGUUCUUAAACUUGCCCUAAAAGCCCCAAAUCUCAUGAUAAAGGUUGAUCUAUAUGCAAAAGAGUGAAGGUAGCGACUCAUUACCUUCAAAUGCUCUGGAAAAUCCCACAAACCCUGGAUCUACUGCCAAUCCUUGAAUCCCCAAUGGUUGCCUUCUUCCUUCUUCCUUCAAAUCACCCAAAAUGGCAAGAAAUCUUGAAUGAGCAACAAUGGAGGCUUAGGGUUUCGGGUUCUGGACUAUAGGGGCCGCAAAUGAGCCCUAGGGAAGAGAAUAAGAUGCUUAAAUAGGGUACCAAGUGUCGGAAAUAGGGUUUCCCAACCCAGACCAGACUCGCCGAGUCCACUUGCCGACACGCCGAGUCGGUCACUUACUUUACACCCGGAUCUCGCUCCGACUCGCCGAGUUCCUCCCUAGACUCGACGAGUCAACCCUCUUUAACUUAGGGUUUUUCCUUUACUUUCUUGACCUUUCUGAUUUCAGGUGUUACAAAAUUGAUUCUUGUAUUAUAGUUAUUGUAUGUAGGAGUGAAUAAUGUUGUUCCCCCAGAAAACCCGAUGUUUUCCGAUAUAAAUAAUAUGAUAGUUUUGUAUUAUUGUAUCAUCUCAACAAAUGAAUGUGAUUUCCCAUGAUUACUUAGCUGGUAAUGGAUCUCUAUGUGAGUCGUUAUAACCAUGCAUAAUAAUGACUAAUUCGUCUGUCUUGGCAUUUUAUCGGAUGUCGGUUUUGAUCAAGAUUUUGUUACCCUAGACUGGUCGAGUCUAACUGUAGCGAACAACUCAGGUGUGGGGGAGUCACCCCCAUAUAGAUCUAUACACAAACUCUCGCUCUCCCUCCAGGAGACUCUGUUUAUAACUACAGUCUACGACCGACACUUAUUGGUGUCACCUGUUAUUUCUCACUAAAUCCCACUAAAAUUGAAAUAACCUUGUUAAACAACCUGAUUUAUGUUUACUUUAAUAAAAGGUAAGCCUAACAGACGAAGAGAAGAGGGCAACGGAGGCCCACUAACUUUGUAUGUUAUUACAGGCUUUCGAGUAUGCUACAAGCACGUUAUAGCCCAUUAAGCAUAUUAUGGAUGUUUAGGGUCUUAUUAGCAAUGUGAAUUGACCAUUAAGGCCCAAUAGCAUGUUAUAACUGAUAAAGGCCCAUUGGUUACGUAAUUGGGUCACCGGAAGCCCAAUAAACAUGUGUGAAUAUAUUGGGCCCAAUAAUCAUGAUAUUGGGCCACAAAGGCCCAAUAGCACGAAUAGAAGAUAUUUAAGCUCAACCAUUGAAUCAAUUAUAAAUUAUCGAUCUUAAGUUCAUAAUGUAGGUAUUUGUUGUCAACUAUAUGUUUAUUCGAAGUGUUAAAAUGCUUUGGCGUUUGAUUUAUAACGAAAAUUUGGUUAUACAUACAUACAUACAUAUAUAUAUAUAUAUAUAUANNNNNNNNNNNNNNNNNNNNNUUAAAAAAACCAUUUGUUAUAACUUUAUAUUUUUAACCCAAAAAUUUAUAUUUGUCUAUUCGCCCAAAAACAUUUAGUUUGACCAUUUCAACCAUUUAUCUAUAAAAAUGACACUUUUAGUCCAUUUUUAUGAAAAUUGACAUUUUUAGUCCUUAAACCAUUUUUCUUGACAUUUUCGACCCAAAUUUAUUUAAAUAAUAAUUUCAGCCCAAAACUAUUGUAUUUCUCAUUUCCAGCCCUUAGUUGUAAAAAUUUUACACUUUUGGCUCAAAUUCCGUAAAUUUUACAAUUUUGACCCCAAAAUCAAAAACUUUGCAUUUCUAGUCCAAUUUUUGCAUCAAAGUCAUUUUCAGCCCGUAAAUAGUUUAUUCACGUAUUAGACUCACAGUUUGUUAAGUUUUCCAUUUCAGUCCCUCAAAACUUCAUUUUUUCGCAACUUUGGGCCCAAAAACUUGUGAGGCCCAAAUUAAAGCCCAAUAAGCUAAAAUUUAAGUUUUUGACCCCUAGAAAAAUUUUAUUUUCAUAAAAGUCAGAUUUUUAUGUGAAUAAUACCAUUUUAUCCUUAUAGAACCGAAAAUGUCAUAUUUUACCCAAAUCUUUGUUAUUUUUGCAAAAAUGACACUUAUAAGGAGUUUGACUUUGUUUCCACUUCUUGAGCCUAAAGACCCUUAGAUCUUUGAAGUAAGUUGUUUAUUAUGUUAUUUGUUCAUAAAUCUUUCACAUUUUAGCUAUAAAUCUUGAAAUAUCUUAAGUAUUAACACAUUAUCGCAACAAAACCAAAGAAAUCACAUAUAACAUGCAAACACACAUAGAUCAACACAUAACUCUUGUAUUCUCCCUCCAAAAACAAGUAAAAACCGAAAACAUGGGGGUAUGGACUCACCUUGCUUAGUUGCUCACAGUUUUUGAAGAAGAAAUGGAAGAGGUUGAUGUGAUUUUCGGCCCUAGUAAGCUUCUUGAGAGGACUAUGGUUUAGAUGGAUUCUAAGGAGUAGAUCACGAAUUUUGCAUGAGUUAGGAGGAGAUUUUUGAUGUAAUAGAGAAACUAAGCCAUGGAUCUAAGUAACAACUUACCAAGGAUGAUGAUUUUUAUGGAAAAACCUUCUUGAAAUGCCCUAGAUCUUGAAAUGCCCUAGAUCUUGAAAUUUUUUAGAGGAAAUGAGUGGUUGUUGUGGUGAGUGUUUGAGAGAAAAUUCAAGUGAGGUGUGUGUGUGUGUGUGAUCCUCGGCCGAGAGGAAGAAAAAUAGGGAGGGGAAGAGAGAAGUGACCUUGCAUGGAAGUAUGAGAGUGUAUGGAUACAUGUUGUAUAAAAGCCUCAUUAUCCCUUAAACAACAAUGAGGUGUCACUUCCCUUAAUCCUCCAUAAACCCCUUUUUUAACUUGGGCCGAAAUGGGCCAAAGGAAGAAGGAAUGAAUUAGUUUGGCCCACUUCAAUCCUUGGUUCGAGAUUAUGAGUUUUAUAGGCAAAAAAUUUCGGCCCAUUGGGCCCUUAGGGUGGUUCACGGCCCAAUUAGCAUAAAAGAUUAGGUUUGUGGCCCAUUAGGGCUAAUUAGAUUAGUUAUGGCCCAACAAGGUUAAUUAGGCUAGUUAUGGCCCAAUAAGGCUUAUUGGAGUAGUUUAUUCAAUUUUAGGCCCAAUAUGGUUUGAAAUGUCAAAUCUCAUGAAGGUGGGUUGAAUUAGAGCCCAAUUAAGGGUUCUAAGUCCAAACUAGUCAAAUUGGAAACUUAUUGGUCCAUUAGGCCCAAUAAGGAAAUCCUAGUCUAUAAUGGACUUAAACCGGGCUUUUUAGGGUUUCCAAUCUUUUGUUGACUAUUUGAAGUGUUUGCAUAGGGUGUUUGAUGGAACUUUGGUGUUAUUGAAUAAACAUCAUGCAUACUUUCAAGUUUUAGUUACAAAUGUUAUCAUUGUUAAUGUUUACAAAAGCAUUAGAAUUCCUAGUUGUGACAUGUCUGGUUUGGGAAACCAAGUUGGAGGAUCGUCAGCAGGACUCGAGUGAGUCAGGAUGAAGAUUACGUGAACGUCCGGCAUGGGAUGCUUUCGGAGUAGUAGUCAGCGCUAGAGACAACAUGGAGAGUGUGGUAAGACUGCGGGAUAGCUGCGACAUUUGUUAGUAGCCAGUUAGAGAAGUGUGGGCGAAGGCCCGUACCUCCUAAUUAGCAUGAUAGAGAUCAAGAGAGAGUAAUUCGUUGAGUUUCAAGAUGGACUUAGGCCUGUAUUACCCAAGAGAGGUGAGACCUGUAGGAGAGGCCACUCUAAGAUAUAGUUUGGGUGAGACCCGUGGGCGAGGGCCGUGUGAUUAUAGCAGUGCAGGUGGGACCAGGUAGAGACCUUAGGGUCAGGUAAGGGGAUCGAGGAUCCCAGAGCAUAUAGAGUUAGAGUGGCAAGGUAGAUAGAAUAGUUUUAGAUAGCCGAAGUUUCCUUGGGAGUCAUUGGGAGCGACUGAGCGAUUGAGCUUGGGUUCAGUAGCCGGUGGGAGUUCGAUCACCAAGUUAAUGGCAGAUUAGUUGGGACCAAGGUGGUCUCGGUUUUUCCGGAAGGUGGAUAAGAGACAGCAGAAUCAUCAGUCGGGGGUAGUAAUGAUAAGGGAAGUUUGGUGUGGGGCAGCUAGUUGACCGAGAAGUGUUACGCCUCGCACAGCAGGGUUAAAUAAUCUCAGAGGGAAGGGUUGAACCCUGUUGCGCAGCUCUCGUAUGAGUCUAACCAUUGCAGAGAUUAAUCUUUUACUCGAAGGAUUAUCUGGUCCAGUCAUUGGGUUGGGUGCUCAGCACUAAGAUAUAGUAGGAGGAAGCAUCCAGUGGAUAUCACUGAAGUGACCAGCAUUAGAAGUGGCCGGGAUUGCAACUUCCAUAGAGGAUUUUUCCUUGAUGAAGUUUGGAAAGGUUUGUUCCUUAUGGCUAGUCACCUUGGGAAGGCCAGUGUCAGCACAGGGAAAAAGGGUGAACCCCUUGUAUGUCAAGUGGAAGUGCUCGGGAGGUACCGGUAGGGUUACCGGUUGAGUAAGAGUGUUGUACUUGAGGAUAGUAAUGAUCGGGUUAUUCUAAAUAUGAUAUUUUCAAGGUUUGGACCGAAUGGGCGAAGUGCGUAACUAGUGGUAAGGUUGUAAGCGGGUUGUAAGGUAGUUGACUUUGGCGGACUUCAAGGACGAAGUCCAGUUUAAGUGGGGGAGAUUUGUAACACCCCGAAUUCAGAAGACCAAGAAAGGAAGGGAAACCCUAAGUCAAGGAGUCAACUCGUCGAGUCCAAGGAAGAAGUUGACGAGUGGAAGCGAGUUUCAUGUCGCGAAUUAAGUGGCCGACUCUGCGAGUCGGCGGUCUGACUCGGUGAUUCUGGUAUGGGUUGGGAAAACCUAAUUUCGAUACAUGGUGCCCUAUUUAAGCAUCUCAUUCCUAUUUCCUCAGCCUCUUGAAUGCUCUCUCAAUACCAGAACAAAACCUUAGAGCCUCCCUUGAGUUUUUCAGCCAUUUUGUGAGAUUUUGAGCAUUCUUGAAGCUUGGAAGAACAAGAAGAAGGUUGGGGUUCAAGAAGGAAGGAGUAGAUCCAGAAGAUACCCCCAUUUGUUGCACUUAUUGGUAAUCAAGUCUUCAUCUUGGCUUCUAGUUUUUUUGGUCUCUUUAUAGCCCUUUUUAUGAAGUUUUUGGACCAAGAAUUAUUACUUAUGGGAUUUGGACGUCCCAAGCAUAGAUCCUUUAAGAUCUGAGAGCAUUUAGAGUGGUUAAGGCAUAAAGGUGGAAGCUUUAUGCCAUUAGAACUCCCCAUGCAAAGUUUAAGAGGUUGUUAUGUCCUUUUUAGCAAAAAAGGGCCAUGCACGGAUGCAAAGGUAGUAGCUUUGCGUGUUAUUCCGACCCUAGGAGUUAGAUCUGGGUCCUAGAUGCCUUGUGCUUGACUAAAAUCGUCUGAAUAGAAUUGGACAUUGAGGGACUCGACGAGUCACUUGUGGGACAUCUCGGCGAGUCAGGCCAGUUUCUAGCCCCAAAACCCUUCUGUAAAGGGUAUGAGUUAAGUUGGUUAGGGACUCAACCAACCUGGGUCCAUAGUAGACAUGAAGAUCAUCGUACUCGACGAGUUGAAGGAGGAACUCAGCGAGUCCAAGGCAAUCUCCUUAGUUUAUGAAGAUGGACUCGACGAGUUGUUCAUACAACUUGGCGAGUCAUAGAGUGGACACAUUCAUGUGUGGGAGAUGAACUUGACGAGUUCAAGGAUGAACUCGGCGAUUCGGUUAAAGAUGGUCCCGAUUGUAUGAUUGAAGUAGAACCCGUCGAGUUCUUGCUAGACUUGACGAGUAGAGUCGGGGUUGUAUUGGGUUGGAGGAGUAUGGACUCGACGAGUUGGUAGACCAACUCGGCGAGUCAAGGCAACUGGAGGUUGACUUUGACCAAGUUUGACCUGGGUGGACUUUUGGAUUAUUGUGGUCUAAAUGUUAUUUUGGGUAUUGCUAGUUCGGGAAGUCGAAGGGUCAGCAGUUCAGGAGUUGCCGGUUAGCAGUCAGAAGUGUUCAGCUAGUCUUUAGCAGUUCAAGGUGAGUCUCCUCACUGUGUGCAUGGGUCUACAACCACAAUUCUGAGCCAUUAUGUUAUGUUUAUGUUUAUGUAUAGAAGGAAGACCCAGGGGUUAGCCCUAGGCACUUAUUGUUAUAUGUUCCGGGUUACGACUUGAUGUCGGGCGAGGCCCGAGGAAUGUUAGGAUGCUAGAGGUCUUUGUGAUUCUUGCAUAUGUCGGUAUGUUAGGUUACGGACCGAGGGUCUGAUGUCGGGGCAAGCCCAAAGUAUGUUAGAUGAUAGUGUGUUUCCGGACCGGGAGUCUGAUGUCGGGUAAAUCCCGAGGAAGAUUCUUAUGUUGUAUGUUAGAUUAUACUUGUGUCUACAUGAUACUUGUAUGUGUCUGGUAGGGAGGUGGGGGUGGGUGAGGUCCCGUAUCUCAUCACUAGCUGAGUAUGGAUGGGCUUCCAUAUCUCGAUAUUAGCUGAGUAGGGGCGAGGCCCGGGAUAGGAAGGAUGUGGGUGUGGGCGAGGGCGAGGGCCCGUAUCUCACUACUAGUAGGUGUAUGGACAGGAAGUAGGGCAGAAAGCGCACAUCCAACUGCCUAUCAGAUAUUAAUUACAUAUAACCUUGAUGUAUAAACUAAGGUAUUAUAUAAUUAACCACUAAAGGUCCUUAAAGUUAUACUGGUUUAAUAAAAUGAAUUAAACCCUUUUACUGAUAAGUUACUAGUUUAGCCUACUAAAUGUUCUAUCUGAAAAGUAUUUUUUGUACUAGAAAAUGGUAUAUUGAAUUUGGAUACUAUGACCUGACCCAUACCUGGUACUCCUUAUAAUUACUUGGUGUAUACGGAAUAUAUAUAUAUAUAUAAGAUUGGANUAUAUAUAUAUAUAGCUAAGAUCGAAUAGCUAGUAGACUGGGUGAAUCUGCUCUAAGCCCACAACCAAACAAGGAACAAGAAAUGAAGCGGAAGCACACAUUCUACUGUCUACCGGACCCGAUUAAUAUACCUGAUGUAUCUACCGAGGAAUCAUAAAGUUAGCAUUAUAGCCCCCCUUUUAACUGAAUGUACUAAGAGUCGACUAUUUUGUUUGUCUUUUGUGAUGAUGUAAGUUUUCCCAAGUUUAAGACUAUCUUUACUAGAAAAUAGUUUGCAUUACCUUUUAUGUGAGAAGAUCACUAUAUGAAUGUAAUGGGAAAAUGAAAGUAUUCAGUAAUAUUGUAUAACGUAACUACUGAAGCACUAACUACCUUAAAACCAGUUUGUUAAUUAAGGUCAAGAUGUGAUGUGGUUAUAACCAUACUGAUCGACAAGUGUUUAACACGACAAUCUGCUGGUGUCGAAACUGAUGUGACAUUUGUCACCCCUUGUCCUGCCGGCCAAACUGUAGUGAACAGUCGGGAUGCGGGCUUGUCAGUCCCGUAUAGAUCUAUACACACAAUGUCCGUUCUCCCUCCAAGAGACUCUGGUUACAAAACGCGACCUAACAAGUAUAUUGCUAAGCCGUGAAGUAGUCUCACAUAAAUGUUAUCUUGUUCUUGUUAUUAUAUGUUCCUUUCUGUUUUUGUUAUCGUAUGUUCCUUUCUGUUCUUGUUAUUGUAUGUUUUGAACCCCUAAACUAUACUUAUUAUAGUUUACUAGUAUGUUUGUUUUGUAUUGUCUCUGAUUUGUAGAAAAGACUCGAUUAUCUACUGAGUUAUGAUUGUACUUUAAAAAUAGAGUUUUAUAAACAACAAAGUAUCAUAACUUUAAAAGAGUUUUUGAAAUGAUUUGAUCACUUAUUAAGAGCAUAAGAAAAUCCUUUAAUGUGAUGGUUAUCACAGAUAAAUAUUUACACAAUUAACAUUAUGUACAACUUGUAUUCCUCCUUUUAAAAGCAUUUAAAACAUUUAAAAGAUUGAUUAUAGGGGUAUGAACUCACCUUAUGUGGGUGAUUCAAUUGAAGAUUCGUGUAAGGAUGAGAAGUUCCACGAAUGAAUUCUCGAGACACAAACGAGUCCUAAAUGACAUAUAAUGGCAUAUAUAGGCAUGUAAUUAGUGUUUAAGACAACUAAUAUGCAAGGAAAUGAUCUUAGGAACUAGGAAACACUUGAAAUGAAGUGUUAGAAUCACAUGUGAUUGUAUGAAAGGGAGUUUACGGCCAAAGGAAGAUGUGUUCACGAUCAUUCAAGGGUUUACAGCCAUGCUAGGGUUUACGGCCGUAAACUCUUGAUGUUCUUGUAUUUUUGGGUCCUUGAUUCAUGCUAAAAGGGUGUUUGCUUCAUGAGGCUUCAAGAGUUUCUAGUUUAUAACAAGAAUAUGGAAGAAUUCUUACGAUUUGGAAGCUUUUGGGAGUUCACGGCCACCAAGAACAAGUGUGUGUUAUUGGUGUUCUUGGUGUUUUUGAUGAUACUUGAGAGAGAAAUGAGUGUUUUUGACUUGAAGAUGUGAGGAAUGAAGAACAAAUGAAGGAAUUCUAUACUUAUGAUGUGGGGUUCACGGCCAAACAAGAGCUUAUGACCGUAAGCUGUAGUUUACGGCCGUAAACUCCAAGUGAUGGGGUUUUCCAGCUUAAAUGCUACACAACGAACUCUAGUAGAUACUCCUAACACCCAAUCCUUGAAUGUACUAGGCUUAGAACACUCAAACAGGCCCUUAACAAUGCUAAAAGAUAGUAGAAACUAGUCUGACUUUUGAUUGAAUUGAAUGGAUUUACUAUAUAGAAAUUUUCACGCGUCACGCCUAACAGCAACGUUAUGAGACUUUUUGUAACGGCGAAGCCACGCCUCACGUCAUGACACGCCUUAGUGCGCGUCAUGACGCGCCUUUUAGAACAUUGGGUUGUGCCCUUUUGUAUGUUAUGUGGUAUUUUGAGGAACUCACUAAGCUUUGUGUCUACGAUUUGUGGUUUAAACAUUUUCAUAUACUUCCAGUUCCAAAGGGAAGAGCACGACAUGAUCACACAACAUCCCAUUGAUUUUAUUCUACAAUGUUAUUUGGAUUCACUCUGAUGUUGAGAAUAUGUGUAUACUAUAAUUGGGUUGGAACAAUUAAUUGUAUCUGUCGGGUGUUUGAAAAAUAAAAGUUUUACUACUAUUUUUGGGACGUUACAUUAAUUAUUAAUUUAUUAGAUUGAGGGUUCAAGUCUCGCUAUAGACAUAUAUGAAAUAAUUUAGAAGUAGUUUAUAGUAUAUUUACCGUUAAAAAAACUAUUAAUUGAUUUAUCUAAAUUAUCUAAUCAAUCCAUAUUAUAAUACUCAUUUAUCUUAUAAGAGUGUUGGCUUUCGACGCAUCAAUAUUUUAUUAUAUUUUCAGUUCGAUUGUUAUUUAAAUUGAUAUAUGAUCAAUGAAAGGGAAUAUGACUUAUGAAGGUAAUUAACUUUUCGGGUUGUUCACAUAUAGGUAACUAUAUUUUUUUUGUACACAUCUAGGUAACAAACGUUUUGGAACUGUUCACAUAUGACCAUUAUGACCUGCUGUAGCAGGUUACAUCCAGCUACAGCAUGUCAUAAUGGUUAUGUGUGACCACUUUCAACAAGUUCGUUACCUAGAUGUGUACAAAAAAAAUAGUUACCCAAAUAUGAACAAAACCAAAAGUAAGAGUAAAUUACACGAAUGGUCCCUAUGGUUUGGGAGAAUUUGUGUGUUUGGUCCCUAACUUAUUUUUUUAAGUCGGAUGGUCUCUACUGUUUAUUUUUGUUGCGCGCUUAGUCUUUGUCUUACCUAAAAAGACUAUUGUGGCCUUAUUAAUUUAUUUUUUUAGUUAAUUUUCUUAUUUAUGUAUUUGCUUUUAUAUGUUUAAAAAAAUUAAUAGACCCCGCAUAUCUGUAUCUCAUCACCGUAAACAUGAAACCACAUUUGAGAAAUUUAAUCUGGGUCGCAUCGGUCACCAUCCCAUAUCUCAUCAUCUGCAACUUCUAUUUUAUUUCCAUCUUUAGUGAUAUGGAAGUCUUCAACAUCCUUUUUUUGGUCCUUCAACUUUGGCGAACAAACACCAUAACACAUUGUCUCUUCACUUUAGUGGGUUGUGGUGUUGGUUCGCUGGAGUUAAAGGACCGAAAAAUAAUAAAUGGUGAAGACGUCGAUGUCAUUAAAGAUGAAAAAGAAAUAAAAGUUGAGGAUGAUGAGAGACGGGAUGGUGAGGAGAUACAGAAAUGUGAGGUCUAUUAGUUUUUUUAAGCAUAUAAAAAAUACAUAAAUAAGAAAAUUAAUUAAAUUAAAUUAAUAAGGACACGAUAGUCUUUUUAGGUAAGACAGGGACCAAACGCAACAAAAAUAAAUAGUAGGGACCAUCCGAAUUAAAAAAAAAUAAGUUAGGGACCAAAAGUACAAAUUCCCCAAACCACAUGGACCAUUUGUGUAAUUUACUCUUACUUUUGGUUUUGUUCAUAUUUGGGUAACUAUUUUUUUGUACAAAUCUAGAUAACGAAGUUGUUGAAAGUGUUAACAUGUAACCAUUAUGACCUACUAUAGUCGGAUGUAACCUGUUACAGCACAGUCCCAAAAACUUUGUUACGUAGAUGUAUAAAAAAAAGAUAGUUACCUACAUGUGAACAAACUGAAAAAUUAAUUACCUUAGUCAGUCUUAUUCCCUCAACGAAACAACCAAAAUAUUUAAUUAAAAAACACGUGCACUUAGUUUCUUCCUGGCAUGGAUUUAUUAUUCUAUGUACACAAGAUGUUCUUGCCAUAAUGAUUGAUUGCUCUCAUUGUCUCCCACAACUCUGUGGACCACAUAUGAUUUAUCGUCAACGAAUUAUUCAGUAAAAUAUAGAAAAUGUGAAUAAGAAACAAACCGCUGCAAAAAAUAAACUUACUUCGAAAUGUGAAUGAGAAUUUCGACCAAGUUGGAUAAAAAAGUAAUGUUUAUUUAUCUCUAAUAGAUUAUAAAAAUAGGAAAAUGAGAUUACGUGAUGGAUUUCCAAAUUAACCCGACUAACCCGCAACUUAAUAGGAUCUGGUUUCGGAUGAUUUCUUAAAAUUAGUAAAAACCCAACUAAACCAAAACCCAAUCGAGUUGUCACAAAUACAUUACCAACUUCGAUGGUUAAGAAAGGGUUAUCUUGAAUGAACUCACAUCCACGCUCAUAUAGCAUACGAAUAUAUGUGGGAAACACAUGUACACAUAAUGACAUAAAAGCAUUAGGGUAAAUCACAUCAAUUGUUUGUCGUGUAUAUGCCAAAAAGUACGUUUAGUCCUUAUUUUUAAAAAUUAACUUGGGCCGUUUCUUGUUUGUUUAAAACUUGCACAUGUUAUCCAUCUUUGUUUUAAAUUUACACACUUAAUCUUUUAUCAGAUUUAAAAUGACUAUACUACCCUUACUAUUUUGUUUUUUAUUUAUUUAGAAUUCAUUUUAUAUUAAAAAAAUUACAGUCAUAUACUAUCUUCCCUCUUUCCCUUUUUUCCUUUCAAAUCAGUUGAAAGGAUAAAACAUCAUCACCACCACCACCGUUAGUGACCACCGACUCAACUCUUAAGCAAAUGUCACUACUUCACCCCCGACUAUCUACUAUGUUUCUCCUUUCUCUAUCAGUGACCACCACCGAUUUGAGGUUCCUUGAUGGAAGAUGAUUUAUGGCUAGGGUUUCUUGAAGGAGUGUUGAUCUAUAACCUUCUAUUGCAGUUCCAGCAACGAUGGUUUCUCCAUCUCUCUUGCACCAAAAAAAGAUCAACAUAGGAAAUUGAUCUGAGGUUCCUCCUCGACAUGAGGUUCCUCGAAAAAGUGUGUUACGCACCAAACCAAACCAAUAUAAAAAAGAAAGCAAAAUUGGUUCCAAAAAUCAAAAUAAAAAAUGGUUCAAGAAGUUGAAGUUGAAAUCAGAAUUAUAUUGAUUGUGGUGGUGGUGGUCGUCGUUAUUCAACCUCUUUGUCGGAUAUGGACUCAGGUUUGGAGAACGUCGAGUGGUCAACGAGUUUCAAAGACCAUGGACGUCAAUCGGAGAGUAGAUCGAAAAUGUUUGUUGGUUUGAGAUGGAAGAAUCGAUCGUGAGAAGCAAUUGUAGCCGGAGAUUUCGAGGGAGAUGUAUUGAUUUCUUUGUUUAACGUCUUGAAGAGGGUUUAGACUUUAGAGUCGGUGGAUCUGAUUUCAACAACUUGAAGAGGGUUUGACUUUGGUCUCACCGAAAAAAGGUGGAGCAUCGGAGAAAGUAUGAGAAGUGUUGUUAGGUGGUUCCCAACAAUGAAAGUGAACGAGGGAGACAAAGAAGGAAGUUGGGGAAGGGGGAGGGGCGGGAUAUUAAUUUUUUCUUUUUUAAAUCUAAAAACUGAUAAAUAAAUAAAUAAAUAAAUAAGUGCAAAAUAGUUUUUUUUUAUGUCUGGAGGGACUAAGUAUACGAGAAAAAACAAACCCAGAAACGAUCCAAAUUAACUUUUAAAAAUAACGGUUAAACGUACGUUUUGACACAUACACGAGAGAUGAAUGGUGGUACUUGUCCCUUCCUUGCCCAAUGCCCAUUCCUUUAUGAAAUUGGUCAAAUUUAUACCAAUGUCAUAUGUCCUAUAGAGUUGUUUGACAUAUAGACAACUAGACCAUAACUGACAGAUGGGUGUUGCGUAGUUGGAAACUUGGAAACGGUAGCUUCUAUUUAUAUAGAAGAUUAGAAGUGUUCUUAAAAAAUAGUUGCAAGAUUUUAUACUCUUAAAGUCUUAAACUAGCCGUUAAUUCCAGUUUUGGCGUAUUGUAAUAUACUGAUUUUAAUUAAUGAUGUUAUUAAAUAUAUUUAAUUUUAUAAAUACUAAAUAUACUUAAAAAAAUAACAAAUUAGAUGAGAGCUUAAGAAAGAUAAGAGAGUAAAUUUGUUGGCCAAGGUUUUAAGUUAAUUUUUGCCGAAAACUUUUAACAUGUUUUUCCAUUUUGGAAUGUCUCGACAUAGUUUCUGAUCAAUAAUACCCAAGUUUGGUUGCUUGAUUAGUUUAUACGUUGAUCGUAAUUGGGUGAUAAGACUUAAGACAAAGCCUAAAUGCAAGAAAUAGCAACAUACUUUCAUUUAUUGAUUAAUUAUAGCAUCCUACUUUCAUUUCUUCUUAUUCUAUACUUUGAACAAUAUAUCCAAUUAUAUAACAAUGUCACCAAUAUUUCCAUGACUUGCAUAAAAAUAAAAGAUCACAAGUAGAAAUUCAAAACUAAAAAGAAAGGUGGACGAUUUCCGACUAUCAAAAUAGCAAAAAGGCUGAAAAACACAUUUUGCAAUCAGAUAUACAACACAAAAUGAGACUAACAAUAAACAAAGACAAAGCAACUACACCACUACACUACAUAGUUCAUUAUUUAAAAAAAAAACAACUACUACAACUACAAACUACAAACUACAAACUACAACAAGAAAAGGAUAAAACUUACUUGAUUUGAUCACUAAGCAGCUUUAACCUUUUCUUCAUUCACAACAGAAAGUAUUGGCAAACUGCUUAAAAACUCAUCAAGUCCUUCAAAGAAUCCAUUCCCUUCAACAUUAUUAUCCUCUCCUUGCCCAUGUCCAUGCCCUUCAUUAUUGUUGAAUUCCACAUUCAAAUCCAACUUCCCCAAUUCCUUUCCAACCCUACCCGAUUCCCUUCUUGGAUUCCCACUCUCUUCAACUCCCAUCCCAUUUCCAAGAUUCUUCAAGAUUUCAUUUUUAGCUUCCCGUGCACUAAUACCAACAUCUUGCACCCUGUUUUCGAAUUCCAAUUCCGGAUCUUUCUUCAUCUUUUUCCUGGCAUUGGAAUCAGAAUCAGAACCAGAACCAGAACCGGAAUCGGAAUCGGAAUCAGAACUUUGUUUAGAGACUUCCAUGAACACAUCAUCUGUAAUAUCAUCAAUAGCAUCAAGUUGGAUACGCGGCCCCGAACUUUUGUUAACAAAAGUAUUCUCCUUCGGGGCCGCUUUACCAUUUAAAUGGUUCUGUUUUUGGUUUUGGAUAUUAGUUGAGGGAUUAUACAUAGGUGAAAAGGGUGUCCAAGAUUUUUUGUUACUUUGGGUGUUGUUUUUAUCUAGAUGUGACAUGGAAACACCUAAUGGGAAGUAACCCCAACAACAGAAAUAUGCUUCUUGGCCUUCUGUUAUGGGUGGUGGGUGGGGGAUACGUACAGCUUGAAAUGCCCUUUGACAGUGGUCACAACGGAGGGUACAUUCGGCAUAAACUUUUGGGUAUUCAUACAUGUAGUAACAGAAAGGACAUGAAGUCCAAAAGGUGGGGGAAUUGUCUACAGUUUCAUCAGGUUCUUCUUCAGCUUCUGUUUCUAUUUCUUCUUCCAUUACACCAUUGUCACUGUUGACUUGAGAAGGAAGCUCCAUAGGAGCAGAAUUAUGUACUUGAGACUCUUGCUCUUGUUGUUGGGGUGGGGGUGGGGNNNNNNNNNNNNNNNNNNNNNNNNNNNNNNNNNNNNNNNNNNNNNNNNNNNNNNNNNNNNNNNNNNNNNNNNNNNNNNNNNNNNNNNNNNNNNNNNNNNNNNNNNNNNNNNNNNNNNNNNNNNNNNNNNNNNNNNNNNNNNNNNNNNNNNNNNNNNNNNNNNNNNNNNNNNNNNNNNNNNNNNNNNNNNNNNNNNNNNNNNNNNNNNNNNNNNNNAGGCUGAGGCUGAGGUAUAGGUUGAGGCCGUGAUUGAGGAAGGGGAGGCUGAGGUUGUGGCUGUGGCUGUGAAGGGGGAGGCUGCUGUUGCUGUGGUGGUGCUUGUGUCCAAGAAAAAGGGGGUUGUGGUGCUGCUGCAGGCGGAGGGGGACUUGGUGAUUGCAUACGUGGCUGUGGCUGUGGCUGUGGCUGAGGAGGUUGUGAUGGUUGUCGGAUUUGCUGAUGCUGAUGAGGUGAUGUAACUUGAAAAGGUUGUACCUGUGGCUGAGGAGGCUGAGGCUGUUGUGGUUGUCUAGUUUGGUGAUGUGGUGGAGAAGUAAUUUGAAAAGGUUGUACCUGCGGUUGAGGAGGUUGUUGUGGUUGUCGAGUUUGCUGGUGUGGCGGAGAUGUGACUUGAAAAGGUUGUACCUGUGGUGGAGGAGGUUGUGAUGGCUGUCGAGUUUGCUGCCGGGGUGGAGAUGCAACUUGAAAAGGUUGUACCUGUGACGGAGGAGGUUGUGAUGGUUGUCGAGUUUGCUGCCGGGGCGGAGAUGCAACUUGAAAAGGUUGUACCUGUGGCGGAGGAGGUUGUGAUGGUUGUCGAGUUUGCUGCCGGGGUGGAGAUGCAACUUGAAAAGGUUGUGCUUGAGAUUGAAACAGUUGUUCCUGCUCCCGGUGGUGAAACAGUUGCUCCUGCUCACGCUUAGGAGGUUGUAGUUGCUGUCUACUUUGCUGAUGUGGUGGAGAUGUAACUUGAAAAGGCUGUACCUGUGGCGGAGGAGGUUGUGGUUGUUGUCUAGCUUGCUGAUGCGGUGGAGAUGAAACUUGAAAAGGUUGUGCUUGAGGCUGAAACAGAUGUUCCUGUUCACGAUGCUGAAAUAGUUGCUCUUGCCUUACCGGACUCGGUUGUGACAGAAAAUUAUGCUGCUGCAAUUGCUGCUGUUGAUGACUCUGUUGAACCCUAGUUUGAAAUGUCUGUUGUGGCUCAGGCAAAUCCUGCUCAUGACUCGACCCCAUGUGAUUAAUCGAAAAAAAAUUAUGCUGCUGAUGACUCUGCUGCUGUUGCUGGUGGUGAUGUUGUUGCUGGUGGUGGUGCUGUUGUUCGAGGUUAAACCCUAUAGUGUUCAUCUGUUGUUGCGGCGGAAAAUCAAGCUCCGAAUCAUACAUAGAUUUCCGCAUAGGGUUCGAUAACACAGCCCAAGCAUCAUUCACAAGCUGAAACGCUUGAUCGGAGUAAGGAAACCUGUUUUGGUGAGGAUUUAGUGUAACGGCAAGCCGCCGGAACUGCGAGGCGAUGUGGUCUGUAUCCUGAACGAACCUGACGAGCUGCAGAAUCGCGUAGUAAUCCGGCUGCUGAGCGCCGUUGUUUCCGACGACUCGUUUUUCGGCGGCGAGAAGCGUGUCGGCAAUUGCUAGGAUCUGUUCAGCAGCUUCGAGUCUGGGAUCGGAAUCUCGUGCUCGGAUCGCAAAUGUCUUGGAGCCGACGAGGUCAUGGCCCAUGAGCAGCUUCUCGGCGAUGCCGAGCCAUCGUUGCGCUUCCGCCCGUGCUAUGAAGCUAUGGGGGUCCAUAACCGUUUCUCUUUCUCUCUACAAAUCAAACCACAAUCGGAAAGUAGCCAUGGCGGCCGUGGAGAGUGGUCGGGAGUGGUGGAGGGUUAAAAAAGGGUUGCAGAUUUUUCUUUUUGACGGAAAAGGACUCGGCUUUUAUAAGGGAAGUGCAGCAACAAGGAGUGGAUAUGCAAGGGUAUUAAUGUCUUUUAAGGAUCUAAAGAUGUAAUCUAGUGUUUCAACUCUGAUUAGUUCACACUCGUGGUCGUUUAAGUUGAAUUAUUUCGAUCUGAUAUGCAAGAUUAUGUUAUUGCCAGAAUAAUAAUGACUAUUUUCAGAGCUAAUAUGCUUUACAGUGUUUUGUACAAUAUCGAUUGAAUUUGUACCUAUUAAUUUAUACAAAUUAUUUGUAAAGUUUUCUAUUUCCAUCGUGUUGUUAAAUUAAUUCAUUGUUACAUUUUGGAUAAAUAUCAUCAAUGCCAGAUAAUUUGUUUUCUUCUCCUCCUCGGUGCUCUUUCACCAUGGCGACAAAUCAACAUAUUUUUGGGCUUGCUACUAGGGAUGCUAACGGGGCGAGUUUUGGUAAUCCCGUCCCCAUCCCUGAAUAUGAAAAUCUUUCUCAUCACCGACCCGAUUUCCAACUGGUACCCG
rnacentral:lncRNA from 1 species